rnacentral:lncRNA from 1 species
GAAGAAGAGUCUUUCAAAAAUAUCAUUGGCUACACUUUUUGGUAAAUUGCAGGAACAUGAGUUAGAAUUAAGCCAACUUGAACAACAUGAAGAACAAGAGAAGAAACACAAAUCAUAUCCUUAAAGGUGAAAGUGGACUCAUAUGACACAUCCGAAGAAGAGUUAGAUGAAGAUGCCAUGGAAUACGUGAACAUGAUGAUAAAGAAGUUGAACAAGUUUCUCAAGAGAAAUAAAGGUGUCGAGACUGGCCCAAGUAAGAACUCAUAAAGAGAAAUGAAGCAUCAACAUCAGGAUAAAACUUCACCUGCUUUGAGGGUGGAAAGCCUGGUUACAUCAACAAUUUCAAAAGGAAAGUAUCCAUAAAAAUUAUUUUUAAAAUCAAAAUCAAGGAUAUAUCAACAUCAACCCACUUGCUUUUAUUGUAAAAAUGUAGGUCAUACCUCUAUUCAUGUUAUAUUAUAAAAGUUGAUAUUCCAUUUUGCCGAUAUAUCUAGAUUGAGAAAUGUGCUAAACCCUAUAGGACCCAAAUCGUAUUGGGUACCUAAUAAAAACUUUUAACUUGUUUUGUAGGAGUACUUGCAUGUUGUAAAUGAAAUGUGCUUGCAAUAGUGACUGAGUUUUUUAGAUUUACAUGGAUGUUGUUUUUAGUGCAUAAAAAUGAAGCUUUUCAUAUUUAUCCCAAACUAUGUUGAAUGAACCUAACUUUCCCAAAUACUUUUGGGUUGAUGCAGUUAGUACUACUUUUAUGUCUCUUAUAGAGUUUUGAUUAGGCAUAUUCUCAAGAAAAUACCUAUGAACUUUAUAAAGGUAUAAAACCUAAUAUAGCUCAUUUGUAUGUCGUUGGGUGUAAAUGUUUUGCUCUAAUAAUGGAAAAGACAAUCUUCAUGAAUUUGAUCAAAAAUUCGAUGCAUGCAUCUUCUUGGUUAUUCUCUGACUAGCAAAACAUAUAGAAUUUUUAAUAAUAUAACAUUCACCAUAGAAGAGUCUAUGCAUUUAUCAUUUGAUGAAACUAAUCCCUCCAAGGAGGAAAAAUGUUUUUGAUGGUGAUGAUUUACCAAGCUCAUCACAAAUUGAAGUUCCAAAUUUUUGAAAACUCAAUAACAUAGAGCAAAUGAAAUCUGAUGAUGAUCUACCUCAACAAGAAAAUAAAAUAAAUUCUGAUCAUCUUAUUGACAACAUCAUUGGCGACAUAAACAUGAGAGUAUCCAUUCGAUUAAUCUAAAUGAUGCUUGACUUAAUAUGGUUUUUGUCUCUCAAAUAGAACCAUCUAAAACAUAUGCUGCUAUAGAGGUUGAGCAUUGGAUUCUUGCUAUGCAAGACAAACUCAAUCAAUUUGAGAGAAACUAGGUUUUGAUACAUGUGCCUAGACCUAAGAAUAGGCAAAUCAUAUGAACUCGACAGGUAUUAAGAAAUAAGGCUAGACAUGAGGGAAUUUAGAAAAGAGGGAAUUGAUUUCGAUGAGCAUUUCCUUCUAUGGCUAGACAUGAGGCCAUAAGAUUGAUAUUAGCUUAUGCAUUUUCAUGAAACUUUUAACAAUAUCAAAUGGAUGUUAAAUGUUAUUUUCUAAACAGUUAUAUACAAUAAGAAAGAGGAGGUGUAUGUUGAACAACCUUAAGGUUUUGAGGACUAUAAACAUUCCUCCUAUCUAUAUAAACUAAAGAAAGCUCUUUACGGUUUAAAGCAAGCUCCUAGAGUCUGGUAUGACAGAUUAACUACUUUUUACGUGAAAAUAGUUUUGAAAAGGGUAAGGUCGAUAGAACAUUAUAUAUUAAGAAAAUGGAUCAUCACCCACUACUUAUUCAUAUUUAUGUUCAUGAUAAUAUUUUCGGUUCUACUAAUGAAGAUUCAUAUAGUGAAUCUGUUAAGAUGAUGCAAGGUGAGUUCGAAAUGUCCAUGAUGGGGAAGUUGAACUACUUUGUCGGACUACAAAUCAAAUACACAAGAUGUCAUCGUUGUGAAUCAAUCCAAGUACUCCAAAUAUCUACUUAAAAAAUUUGAAAUGGAUGAAUUUAAAAUCACUGCUACUCACAUUGGCUCAAAUACUUACAUCGAUACUUAUGUGGCUGGAAAAUGUAUUGACAUCCCUAAGUAUCAAGAAAACUUAGCUUUUCCUUCUUUUUGUUAAAGUUAAAAGUGGGAGUAAAGUUGGACUUGCUUUUUUGAUUAAUUUUUCAAGGAAAUAAUUCUAAAAACAAAGGGAGAGCAUACAAGAUAGAGAUAGCGUACACAAACUUAAGAGCUCACAUAUCAGGAUAGAAGUAUGCAAAUCAGGAAACUCAUUGUCAACAUGAUAUUGAUUUGUCAUCAUCAAAAGGAGAAAUUGUUAAGAAGGUCUUGCUCUCGACCUUGGCCUAGGUUUUCAUGAAGACACCAGUGUCAACAAAAACAAGAAAAAGGAUUUGAAAACCAUGAAGACUUAGAAGCAUGUUCAUCAAGUGAACAAGAAUUUUAGCUUUCUAAGUUAGAUACCUCUAACCUUAAGUCUCUUAACUUAAGUAAUGCUUAAAUGCUCUUAGGAAUGAUUUUCAAAGUUUUGAAAAGAUUAAUUCGGUUUGAAAAUGAUUUUAAAAGAUUGAAAACAAAUUUUCAAAAAAAUUUUGAAUAAGAAGUUACUUGAAAUUGAAUAACAAGUUAUCGGGACUGAGUAAUCGGUUAACCAAGAUGAGUAGCACGUUACCAGACAAAAAUAAGGUAGAGUAACUAAUUAAUCAAUUUGUAGAUGAUUACUCGUCGAACAAAAGCAUAAGCUAACCGAUUACACCAGGCAUAUAAUCAAUUACUCAUAGCUAUUACAACAAUUUUCAUAUUCAAGCUAAAACACCUUCUUCCAAACUGAAUCAAUGUCUCUCGAGUCAACUCUACCUCUUGGAAUGAGUAUUUUGGCUGGUUGGAAACCUAUUUCAACACCCUUGACAUUAAGAUUUGAAAUCAAUCAAUCAUAUAACUUUUACAUACAAUUCACACACGCUUUUGCCACAACUUAAGGAAUUUUUUUUAUUUCUUGAAAAGUUGUCGAAGUGUUUUCACACCAUGUUUUAUGCACUUGAUUUUUAUCUGGAAAGACUAUAACAUUUGUGUGUUACUUAGAAUUAUUACUUAAAAGGAUUGAGAACAUAAGAGUUAUUUUUAUUAGCAAUCCUUAGCCCUAGAUAGAAAGCUCUUCAUGUAUCAAAUUAUUGUAAAUUCACCAUAAGGUGUGGUGAAGGGAAAGAGCAUUAAUGAGGAAAUGGUGUGCUUUUUUAUUUGUGAUAUCGGUGAGUAAUAAUCUGAGACAAAGUCUUGGUGUAAUAUUUUUAAGAUUAACAUUCAUUACAUAGUAAAAUUUCUUGUGGUUUCCAAGAUGACUAGAUGUAAUCUUUGGUGGAUAAAAGGUGAACCAUGAUAAUUGGUGUUACCUAUUUUCCCUUACUCUUUUAUAAUCUGCACUUUGAUUUUUGCUAACUUAAGCCUUUCGUUGCAUAUGUGUGUUUUAAGUUUUACAAGUUUCAAAUAUUUGUACUUGAGUUACAGACAACCGGAAAACUAAUUCACCCCCUCUUAGUUUGUCAUCUAGACUUACAUUCUACACUCAUUUACCCUAGAUCCUUAAGGAUAAUCAUACGUCAUGCUAGUAAUGUUAAAUAAGCAUUGUGUAACACCUUAUUUUGAAUAAUAUUAAACUAGGAGAAACACAUCCAACACAAAAUUCAAUACCAUUUAACUUUCCUUAAUGUAUAGGAAAAACACCUCAAUAUUAAAAUUAAAAAAUAAGUAUUAUUAACUUAAAUCAAUAUUAUAAAUUGGACUUUAUCUAAAGAGUAUAAGGAGAGAAUCUUAAAAUACCCUCAACAUUUAAAUGGAUUCUUAAAAUAACAAGAUAAAACUAUGAAAUAUCAAUAAGUUAUCAUGUACAAUAGUCGCUUGUCUUCGGUCCUUCCACCAAGUACUCACUUAUUUCUUAGAAGAUCCUAGAAAUGUCAAAAACUAAAGUAUAGUAAGAUAAAAAUCUUAGUAAUACAAUAAUAUCAAAACUUUAGAAAAUAAGAGACUUCUAGCCAUAAUAAGUACAAAAAAUCUCUAGAAAGAAAUGUAAAAGAGAAAAUUAGCAAUUGUCUCACUUUUCUUCAAAAUAUAGUUUAUUGCUCAUCACUUAAAUAUGAAUAUGUGGAGUAUAAGUCAGUCACAUCACAACACUUGAUUCAGUUUGCAAAGGGCAUUAAUCAUCUCAAACCUCGAGUCCUUGAUUAAAAGUUUGCACACUGUAUGCAUGUUGGAGGUUCAAGCCCCUCACUCGGUGCUCCAAGUUCGUUGAAAUGUAUUACUCCAUUUCUAGAAAUAAGCUCGUAUUUAUGGGAAUGAGAAUUCCUUUGCAUAUGCUCAUGCCAAUCAGUGGAAACUAAUGUUCAAUCAACAAGCAACAUUAUUGAGUCAUGGAUCCCUCAACAAUCAAUAUAAUUAGGUAUCCCUAAACAAUCAAUAUUAUUUAUAUGCAACAAAGACGGGAAUAUAGAAUUAAACAUUAAAUGUUUGAACAUUCUCAUUUUACUAUAUAAUUAUGAUACAUAUUUAAUAUACAUUGAUUUAUUAAAGAAUUCACUGUUAUACAUGUUGUGUAAUGGCUCAUAUUCUUUAGAUAAUUGUAAUAUGAGUUAUGAGCUUGGGCUAAUGUAAAGGGGUUGGGGGUAGGGGCUAUAUAUUUAUGUUAUGUAAAUCUAAUGUAACAAGGAGAAGAAUAGUCAAACACCAAUCUUUAUUCUCUAAUAAUACUUAGUUGUAGCCUCUCAACGCUCCUACGGGCGUAAGCACAAUUGACUGAAUCUCUCGUUACCAAAUUCUUUGUGUUAUUCUUUUUUCUCUACUCUUUUUACUAUUUGAUUGUUCACUUUUUCCCAACAAUUGAUAUUAGAUGGCUCUUAACUGAUGCGCCAAAUUCGAGGUGGGGAAGUUUGAUGGAACUGGUAAUUUCGGAUUGUGGCAAAUGAGGGUUAAGGAUGUGUUGGCUCAACAAGGUCUAUCAAAGGCACUGCAUGAAAAUAAACCAAAUGGUAUAGAUCAACUAGAUUGGGAAGAGUUGAAAGAGAAGGUUGCGGGAACCAUACAACUCUAUGUAUCAAAUAUGGUGAUGUAUCAUGUUAUGGAUUUGACGUCACCAACAGAGCUAUGAGAGACAUUAGAGAAGCGGUUCAUGUCCAAGUCUCUAAAAAAUAAGUUGUCUUUGAAAUUAGGAGGGUGCUGAUUUGCAACAACAUCUCAACAAUUUUAAUCAAGUGAUCAAUGACUUGUAGAAACUUGAUGUGAAGGUUGAUAAUGAGGACACAACAAUAAUAUUACUAUGUUCUUUGCCAAAUUUCUAUGAAAACUUGGUGACAACAUUGACAUACGAGAAAGACUCAAUCUAACUUGAUGAUAGCACAUCUGCACUUCUGUCUCACACUCAAAGAAGACAGAAUGUAGGAGAAGGGUCUCAAAGUGAUGGUCAGCAUGUGAAAGGGAGUCAAGUGCAUGGGAGGAGACAAGGUAGAGGAGGUCCUUCCAAAUGGGAAAGACCAAAUUCCAGGGGCAGAACACACUAGAAUUCUAUAAGUGCAAAGAAACUGGGGAUUACAAAAAGGAUUGACCAAAGGAAUGGAGUCCUAGCAAGCCAGUGGGGAAAGAUGGAGUAUCUACAUCUAUAAAUGUUGCAGAGAAAGAUGACUCUGGUUACAAUAGUGAAGUUGAUCUACUAUUUAUAUCAUCAAAUCAUAAUGCAGAUGAGUGGAUACUUGAGACUAGUUUUCCCACCAUAUGACACCAAACAGAGAAUGGUUCACCAUAUAUAGGGCAAGCAAUUUUGAUUUCGUGUAUCUCAGAAAUAAUAAAGCAUGUGAAAUUAUUGGCAUGGGAGAAAUCAGAAUUGUGAUAGAUGAUGGUGUAGUGAAGAUAUUAUGUGAGGUUAGGAAAAUACCAGAUUUGAAGAACAAUUUGUUUUCUUUGGGGACAUUGCAGACCAAAGGACUUAGCUAUAGAGUUGAUGGGGAUAAUGAUAUUCUUCAAGUAUGCAAAGGUUCUUUGAUUGUGAUGAAGGAUAAGAGAACUGCGGGGAACACUUACAAGCUUUUAGGGAGAUCAUUUGUAGGUGGAGUUGCUGGAGUGGCUGAAGAGAUCUCAGUGGAUUCAAACUAUGGUGCUAAAAAUUAUGGCACAUGCGUUUGCGACAUAUUAGUGUACGUGGCAUGACAUAACUAUGAAAAAAAAGGAUUGUUGUGGGGAGUCAGCAAUUGCCAACUUCAUUUGAGCAAGUAUUGUGUGCUUGGGAAACAGACAUAUGUUAGUUUCAAGGCUGGCCAACAUAGGACUCGUGGUAUUCUAGACUAUAUCCACACUAAUGUAUGGGGGCCCACUCAGGAACCAUCCCUAGGAGGUUCUAGGUAUUUUCUUAUCUUCGUUGAUGACUUUUCUCGCAAGGUUUGGGUAUAUUUUUUGAAGCAUAAGUCAAAAGUCUUUGCCAAGGUCAAGGUUUGGAAGGUAGAGUUAGAGAACUAGACUGGUAGAAAAAUCAAAUACCUGAGGUCAGACAAUAGUAUGGAGUACAAAGACUCACAGUUUCGAAAAUUCUAUGAGGUACAUGGCAUCCAUAGGCACUUUUCAGUGAAGUAGACUUCUCAGUAGAAUGGUGUUGCAAAGAGGAUGAAUAGAACUCUUACAAAGAGGGCCAAAUGUAUGAGACUGACUGCUGGACUUUCCAAAUGAUUUUGGGCAGAUGCACUUAGUAUGGCAUGCUAUGUCAGCAAUAGGUCACAGCAGGCUACAUUGGAUAGUAAAGUUGCAGAAGAAGUAUGGAUAGGUAACCCAGUCAAUUAUAAUAUAUUACACAUAUUUGGUUGUCAUCCUUAUGUAUAUUUACCUAAUGAUGAACGAUCUAAACUUGAUCCCAAGUCAAAGAAGUGUAUCUUCAUUGGGUAUACCAAAGGUGUGAAGAGGUUUAAGUUCUGGGAUCCAGUUUCCAGUGGUGUUGAGCAGAGAUACAGUAUUAGAUGAAGACUUCAUGUUGAAACAAUCAGUUUUGAUAGAGGUGUCCAAGCCAACUGGAGAUAAUUUGGGAUCAAAUAUGUUUUCAGUGAAGAAUGAAAUGGUUCAUGUGAAUAAAGGCAAGGAACCAUGCACUUGUUCAAGUCAAGAACAUGAUGAUUCUUAGGCGGAGAGUUCAAGUGUGUAGGAGUAUCUACUUGUUAGAGAUAGAGAUAGGCAUCAUGUCAAACCUCUAGAGAUACAUGGCUUUUGUUGCUCUCCAUAUAAGCUCGGAUGAUCCAUGUAGCUUUCAAGAGACUAUAAACAGCCAGAAGAAAUAACAAUGGAUGGGUUCCACGAUGGAGGAGAUGAAGUCUUUACAGAAGAACCAAACUUGGGAGCUUGUCCCAUUACCUCCAAACAAGCGUGUAGUUAGGUGCAAGUGAGUAUGCAAGAGGAAGCCAACAAUAUCAAAAAAAGAAGGGGAAAAGUUCAAGGCUCUUCUUGUAGAAAAAGGGCAUUCACAACAAAAGGGGGUCGGCUAUAGUGAGAUUUUCUUCCCAUUGGUGAGACACGCUUCUAUCAGGGCAGUGCUUUCCUUGGUAGCCAACCAGGAUAUACACAAAGAACAAAUAGAUGUCAAGACUGCCUUUCCCCAUGGUGAAUUAGAGGAGAAAAUUUACAUGACACAACCAGAAGGGUUCAGUGCAGCUAGACAAAAUCAUUUGGUUUGCAAGUUGAAGAAGUCUCUAUAUGGGUUGAAGUAGUCUCCCAGACAAUGGUACAAGAGGUUUGACACUUAUAUAUUGAAGCUUGGUUACAAGCGUUGUGAGUAUGAUUGUUGUGUUUAUGUGAGAAGUCUUGAUGAUGGUUCUUUUAAUUUUCUACUAUUUUAUGUUGAUUAUAUUUUGAUUGUUGCUAAUCAUUUGAGUGAUAUCAAUGAGCUGAAAGUCAUGCUAGGUAAGGAGAUUGACAUGAAAGAUUUAGGGGCUUCUAGGAAGAUUCUUGGAUGGAGAUUCACAUGGAUAUCGGAGCUAGUAAACUAUGGCUCUUCCGACAAAGCUAUGUUGAAAAGAUCUAAGAGUGAUUUGAUAUGAGCAAUGCUAAAGUAGUGAGCACUCAAUUGACAAACCACUUCAAGCUUUCCCUAGACUAGUGUCCAAACACAGAUGAAGAGAAGAAGUACAUGUCAAAGGUUCCAUAUGCUAGUGCAGUGAGUUGCUUGAUGUAUGCUAUGGUUUGCACUAGACCGGACUUGGCACAAGAAGUUAGUCAAGUAUGCAUAUACAUGUCAAAACUAGUGAAGCAACAUGGGGAAGCAGUCAAAUAGAUUUUCAGAUGUUUGUAGGGGACUACAAGUCAUAGUAUCAUGUUUGGCAGCCAACAGAGUAAGUCUUCAAUUGUUGGUUAUGUUUAUUUGGACUAUGCAGGAAACUUGGAUGAUAGAAGGUCCACAACAAGGUUUAUCUUCACCCUUGCAGGUGGACUAAUUAUAUGGAGAUCAUCAGUUCAGCAUGUUGUUGUUAUGUCCACAACUGAAGCAGAGUACAUGGCAGUUGGUGAAGCUUCUAAGGAAGCCAUAUGGAUUAUGGGGCUGGUAAACGAAUUAGGCAUUGAGCAAGGUAAAGUUUCGCUCCAUUGUGACAGUUAGAGUGUUAUCUUCUUGGCAAAGAACCAAAUGUAUCAAGCUAGGACCAAACAUAUUGAUGUGAGAUUUCACAAGAUCAGAGAGUUUGUAGCUUGUGGACAGAUAUUGUUGUAGAAGGUUCACAUUUUAGAAAAUGCAGCUGAUAUCUUAACCAAACUAGUUAUUGUGGACAAGUUCGGGCAUUGCAUGAGCGUGCUGAACAUUUACUGAUGUUGGAUUAUGGAGCGCCCCCAACCCAAUGACGAAAGAUGGAGAUCGAUAAUAUUCGCCAAGGUGGAGAUUGUUGUGCAAUGACUCAUAUUCUCUAGAUAACAGCAAUACAAGUUAUGGGCUUGGGAUGAUGUAAACGGGUUGGGUAGAUGUCUAUAUAUUUAAGUUAUGUAAACCUAAUGUAACAAGGAGAAUAAUAGUCAAACACAAAUCCUUAUUCUCUAAUAAUACAUAGUGGUAGCCUCUCAGUGCUAUCGAGGAUGUAAGCACAAUUGACCGAAUCUCAUUACCAAAUUCCUUGUGUUAUUCUCUUUUCUCUACUCUUUUUACUAUUUGAUUGUUUGCUUGUUCCCAACAAUAUAUAUAAAACCAUAUCAUUAACACUUAGAUUACAUAAAAGGGUUAGACAUAACUAUGUUGUAACUUCUAGAACUUUCAAACACAAUAUGUUAUACUCGACAAGAUGGAAGAGAAUGUGGCUUUUUGAUUAUAUGAUUAUUUCAUAUAGUCUCAAAAUGAAAUAUACAUGUGACAUAUAUGUUUUGAUAUAAAUUAUGAAACACGACAUUUAAAUUACAAAUCAAUGUUAUAAAAACUGUUUUUUGUCGGUUGGUUCAAUCGGUAAACCGGAGAAUCAAUCUCAAUACUGGUACGAUGCAACAAUUAUAUCGGUCAUGUAAUCAUAUUGCUCAUAAACUAGUCAAAAUCGGUUAUACUGACUGAUUUUCAAUUGAACCGUAUCGGUCAUACCAACUAGUUUCAUUUAAAUUAUUUUUUAAUAAAAUGACUUAUUUUUACCAAAAUGUUGGUAUGGUAAUCAAACAUAGAAUUAAUACAUUUUUAUACUUCUAAAAUAUGGUCUACCAUCACGUGAUACACUUUUUAUUUUAAAUUUUUUUAUAAAUAAAAGUUUUUACUGUCUUCUUUAUUGUUUUUUAACACUAACAUUAGUAUAAAAUAUAUGUAUAUUUAACUUCACCGAUAUGCGAUUUACUUAAUGAACCACCUGUUGAACCAUUGUAUCACUAUCCUAUUAUCCUGACCAAUGUAAUAAAAGAUAGAAUAUUAAUAAAAUUGUUACAAAUGAAGUUCAUAUGGCCAUUAUAACAUCCAUUGGUAUAAGUGAUUAAAUAUAUGAUAAAAACAUUUAUUUGAUUUAUGCACAUUGCACAUAACAUCAUAUAGAAUCCAAAAUUAAGAAACAGAGAAGGAAUAUGGCACCAAAUCAUAAUCAAUAGAUAUAUGAGCACUAACAAUUAUGAUUGUGAUUUUUCUUUGUACGUAUUCCAUAUAAAUUAAUUAAAGAACAUAAUACAAUUAAACAAUGAUUUCCAAUAAUGGGUUUUAGGGUUUCUUGUAUUACCUCAUAAUGGAUUGAUGUUAGAAACUUCGUCCCAUCCCUCCCUAUUUUCCUUCUCAUAGUUGCUAGAGUUUUUUUUUUUGGUAACUAAUGGGUAAUUCCAGAUAUCUAUUGAUAAAGUAACUUAAUUUCCUAUACUUAUUAUUAUGCUACCUUAAUCCUAACAUAUUUAAACAAUAUCAUAUUCAUCUAAUUAAUCUUUCUUCCUAUAUUGUAAUAAUACACUUUUCUUUAAUAAUAGAAACAACACCAUUAACUCAAUUAUCUAAAAAAAGUAUUUUAAAAAAUAGUCAUACAUCAAGAAUUUCAUAUAAUCACAUGAUCAUACAUAUUAUUUAACACUAAUUCAAUCUAUCCUUUUCCGGGAUGUUACAAUUCUCCUCUCGAAGAAAUUUUACCAUCGAAAUUUGAAGUCAUUUGGUGUUCAAAAUAAAUUUGGAUACUUCAACCUCAUCUCCUCCCCAAGCUCCCAAGUAGCUUCUUUCGAAUUGAAUCCACCCUAGAUAACCUUGACCAAAAGGAUUGCCUUACUCCUCAGUGCUUUGGUAUUGUGAUCGUCAAUACGCAAGGGCCUGGUGUUAUAUCAAAUCAUCUUUUAAUUGUAUCGAUAACUUUGGAGGCAAGACUAUUUGAUAAGAAAUAGUUCUGAUUUUUUUGAGAAUUUUGAACGGACCUAGAAAAAUUGGGUUUAGCUUGUUGACACGAAUUGCUCUAUCUGUCCCAUUUGUUGGGGUGACCCUAAGGUAUACAUGGUCUCCUUCCUGAAACUCUAAAGGUCUUAUUCUUUUAUAAGAAUAAAUUUUUUGUCUACUUUGAGCAUGAAAAAUCUUUUCUUCAUCAACACAAUCUUUCUUUUAGUCUCGGAUACUACUAGAUCAGGUUCUAAAAUGGCUUCCUCUCCAACCUCAAACCAAUAAAAUAGGCACAUACACUUUUUUCAUAGAGGGCUUCAUAAGGUGUCAUCCUAUUACUGGAAUGAUAACUAUUAUUGUAGGCAAACUCUAUCAAAGGGAAGUAUCUAUCCCAACUACCUCCCUCGUCUAAAACACAACCUCUAUGCAUAUUUUGUAAUGUUUGAAUGGUUUUCUCAUUUUGCCCAUUAGUUUGUGGAUAGUAAGUUGUACUAAGGUUUAUCAUAGUUCCAAAAACCUCUUGAAAGGCCUUCCAAAAUUUAGAGGUAAAUCUAGGGUAUCCAUCAUAAUCAAUAUUGGGGGGUACACCAUGAAGUCUAAUUAUCUCCUGAAUAUAGAGUUCUGCAUACUUUUCAAGUGAGAAACUUGCUCUAAUGGAAAGGAAACGUGCUUACUUAGUUAAUCUAUCAAUGAUUACCCAAAUGACAUCAUGCAUUGUUUGGGUUAAGUUAAACCUAUGACAAAGUCCAUAGAAAUAUUGUACUACUUCCAUUUAGAUAUUACUAAAGGCUGAAGCAAACAUGCAUGUUUUUAUUGCUCUAUCUUAUCAUGUUGACAAACUAGACACUUAGCUUCAACCAUAGCAACAUCCUAUUUUACACCAGGCCACCAAUACCUUUCUCAAAUCUUGGUACAUCUUGGUGGCAAAGAAAUGCACAAUCAAUAUACCUUUAUGAGCUUGUCCUAGGAUUUUCCGCCUUAGGCUCCCCUCCUUAAGAACACACAAUUUACCACGAAACAAGAUAAAAUCUUAUUGACUCUUAUAAAAUCUCGACUCAUGUAGUAUCAAACAUAAUUAGCCUUAAACUAAGAGUACCUAAGGUCACAUUAUAACACCCUGAUUUUACAACUAAGAAAUUAGUAUUUUAUUAUUAAAAUAUGAUAAAAGUUUAUAGAAAAGUUAAAGUCAACAUGUUAGAGAAUUUAAGUAGAUUUAAAACUUUUUCAGUGACAAUCUCAAGAUUUGGAAACAUUCAAUAUUAUCUUUACCAAAAAACGAUGCAUUAUGUUCAACCUCAAAACUCAACUAUAAAUAUAAUUAUGCAUUUCUAAUUAUGAAGCUUUACAAAAUCAUUAAUUUCAUCCUAACAAGAUGAUUAUAAAAAAUCAUAUGUGCCAAAAAUAAUAUUUCUUAUAUAUUUUUCUUAAAAUAUAACUUGUAUAAUAAUUAGUUCAAAAGGCUAGGGGUAUUCCUAAAUCAGAGUCAAUAAUCCCAACAUAAACAAGAUACUUAACUAUACAUCAACUAAGUUUUUCUUGUCUAUAUUUCUAUCAAUGGAUAUCCAAAGUGAAACUACAUUAAACCUGUUCAUAUACAAAAUAUAGACAAAAGAAAAGACACAAAAGGGAGUAAGAACCAACUAGGACGACCGCGACAUGGAAUUACAUAGAGAAGUAACAUUAAAGUGAGACAACCUAUAACACAACUAUAACCAAACAAUGUCAAAUGUAUGCAAAUGAUGCAUGAAGUUAGUAUCUUAUACAAUAGGAUACUCACAUCCCCAAUUAAUAUAUCUUUCAUGCAAUGCAAUAUGGAUUUCAAACAACUAAUCUCCAUCAAAAUUCCUGAAGUCCAAGAUCCUAGUGGGAAAGCAAUCGGGAUUACUUUAACAACUGAAAGUAACAAUAUCAAUUGGUGUCCAGUACCUCUAUAUGAGGUGCUUACAUGAUAAGCUCAGUUCGUUUCUAGAAUCCUCUCUAUCGAUCAUGAAAUGUGCAAGAGGGUGUUAGAGAUCACUUAGUUUUCAUGUAGGACUAUCUUGGUCAUAUGGAUAAUGAACUUGGACCCUCAUUAGACUAUCCCACUUAUGCAAUCCCUCAAGGCUUCUGGAUAAAUCACCGUCAUUGCUACCUCUAUCCAAAUCUGCAAUGAUAUUUCUAUCACCACAUCUUUCCAUUUUCUCCAACUCCAACUACAUGAAUGCAAUGCAUGCGCACUAACAGAAGUUAGCUCAUUAAGUCUUUCACAACUUUUAUUUCAUCAAGUAUCACCUAAGUUAGUCGUCUCGGUCCCAAUAUAUUUCUAUCAUGCCAAGUCCAAUGAACGAGUUCAAGAUGCUAACUUAGUGAUGAAAAUAUAAUUAGGAAAAGCCCCAAAUCUCACGAUACUUUCAAGUAUGUGAUUAACCAUUGCCUCUCAACAAAUCCAAUCUUUCCAAAAUAUCACAUAAGUUAGUUGUCUUAGCCCCACUGAAUUUUUACUAUGCUAUAUCCUCAGGACGAGCUCAAGACACUAACUUGGUGAUCCAAUAUCAACAAGCAAAACCCCAAUUUUAGACUUAUAUGUUUUCCAUGUUAAUAUAACAAUUAACUUAUGUAUUUUUAUAUCAAUACAACAAUCAACAUUUAUAUUUUCCAUAUUAAUACAACAAUCAACUUAUGUAUUUCUCAUAUCAAUACAACAACUGACUUAUGUAUUUCCCAUAUCAAUACAACAAUCAACUUAUAUAUUUUCCAUAUCAAUACAACAAUCAACUUAUGUAUUUCCCAUAUAAAUACAACAAUCAACUUAUGUAUUUUCUGAAAUGGCGAAUAGUCAAAGGUUGCCUUUAUGAUAGACCUACAUAGUUUUGAUGAAGACAAGGAGUUAAAUGGAAGCUUGAAGAUAUGGACAUCAUAAUAAACAACAUGCCAAAGACUCGAGGUCAACAUCAUAGACUUAGGAUUAUUUUAAUAUUCUAGAAGCCCUAAGAUGAUUGCCUAGUUUUGAGUCUAGGUUAGGUAAACCUUAGGUGGAAGUCUCACAAGAGUUUAAAAUGAAAUUCAUAUAGAUUGAGGCAUCACAUCUAAACAUAUAUGAUAAGUAGAAUCAUGCAUAAGCAUUAAGCAUACAUGGUUUUUUGGCAUAAAAGUUGUAUCUAUUUCAAAAUUAUGUAUUGCAUGUUCAUUCAUCAUAUAGAGAGUUUACCAUGCAUUAAUGAAAAACCAAUUUCAUAAAUAUUAAUUCAUUAAAAUGGUUUAUAAUCGAUUAUGUCUUGUGGAAAUCCGUUAAUCGAUUAAGGAUUGGUGUAAUCAAUAAAAAGGAGUUAUAAUGGCUAACUUCCUAGGAUUUCUGGCUUAUUAAUUGAUUAAAGAAAAAACGUUUUGCAUAAACACGUUAGUCGAUUAAGAUAGUGGAUAAUCGAUUAAUUUCAGGUAAAAUCAAUUUCAUAUAAAAGCUGCAUUUUCAACCCAUGUGUAUUAUCAAGAAGAUUAAUAAUUUUCAUUGAGAGAAAGAAAACCAAGAUUCUCAGUACAAAAAUUUCAUAUCAUCUUGCUUAUUCUUUGAGUGAAAGAAAGUGAAAUCUUGCAUUGUUUUCUAGAGAGAAAAGAGAGAAAGAGAGAAAAACUUUUUUCUAGAGUGCUUCAGUUUUCAUUCAAUGAAAAAUCACUGCAUUAUGUAACAUUUAGUUUUAGGCUUAUUGUGAGAGUUCUGAAGAGGUUUUUAGAGUUGAGUUCAGAGUUUAUAUCCGCAUGUUAAGUGUCCAUCAAUAACUCGACAAACAUUGUAAAAAACAAGGAUUGGUUCUCUUAAUGUGUUAGUAUCAUCUUGAAAAUAGUGUUAGGUAUCAGUGGACAGAACACACCUAGAAAAGGGGGGUUGAAUAGGUGCAGCGGUUAUCAAUUACUGCUUUUCACACCAAAGCCCUAUUCUGGAAAAAGCCCCAGUUCAUCGAUUAACUCCAAGACUUAAUCGAUUAACGCAUACAAAUACAACAAGAUGCAAACAGGCUUCUUGUACAGCAAGUCACCGACGUUCGGCUUAUUGAUUAAAUGAUAAACAACCUAUAUGUUAUGCUUAUCAACUAUACAUUUUUUAUCAAUAUAUUAUGCCUAAGAUGCACAAGUAACAUGCAUGUUUAAUGCAUGAACACAUAAUGAUCUAGAUUGAAUGUCUCAUGUAAAAGAAAUGAUUACUUUUAAAGCUUGUGAGACUUGCAUCUAGGUUUACCUAACCAAGACUCAAUAUUUAAGGGACACAUCUUAGACUUCUAAAAAAUAACUCUAUUAAGAACCUAGUCUAUAUAGGAAAUCCUUGAGUCCACGGCAUGUUGAUUUGUUGAAUCAUCUUCAAGCUUUCACUAAGUCCCUGUCUUCAUCAAAACAUAGCCAAACUCCAAUAGUGCUCUACUUGACAAUUUGCACUUUCAAUCUCCCCCUUUUUGAUGAUGACAAACUCCACAUCAGAUGUUGUUUGAUGAAGAGCUUGAUGAUGGUUAUAGAAUGCAAUGGUUGUGAAUUCCAAAGUUAAAGCGCAUUGCUCCUCCUUAAUGUAAGUAGGUAGCGAAAACAAACGGAAGCUAAAUUGUACUUUUUACAAUCUGCAAACACAUCAAACAACAAAGCAACAUUUCUCCCCCUUUUGACAUUAUCAAAAAGAUAAACUAAUCAAUAUAGUUAAAAGUAAGAAGAGUUAUGUAGUUAUAACAAAACUAUAAUCAUUUAAUUAAUUUGGAAAUUUAACUAAUUAACCAGUUAUAAGAAGCUUGAACAAAUGCUCUUGUUAACACCAUUUAAUCGAUUAAAUACAUGGUGUUAAUUCGAUUAAAUGGACAAAAAAUAGUUAAUAAACAAUUUUAAUGGCAUAGAUGGUUAUACAAUAACUAGUUAAGCAUAGAAUGAUUAAGCAUUAAUAUAAUAGCAUGUACACAUCAGGCUUAACCAUACAAAAUAGAUGCAUAUAACCAACAUGGUCAAGAACCAUUAAACACACAUUCAUACUAUUUGUGACAUAAGUAAACAUAUGAUUAAGAAAUUGAAAAGCCAAUAACAUACAAAGUUCAACAGCAUGCAUAUCAAGUUAAAAAAAAAUCCAGCACAAGUACAAUAGUAGCUAUUACAAACCAACAAGUCAAAGUAGGAAAUAAGUCUCAAAGAGAACAAAGCAACACAAUCCUGAAUUUAGCCAUUAGAAGAAAUAAACCUAAGGUAUCCUAAGGUCUAAAGUCUUCUAACUAAGGAUGAGGUGAAAGGUUUCUGCCAUCAAGAAUUAUCAGACUACCAUCUCCCUUGAUGAGAAUGCUCAGCUUGUUAAACUCUACACAAAACCAGUCAUUAUGUGCCUCGACAGUAGUUUGAACAGAGUUCCUCAAGGACUAAUAGUGAUUAUCAAUAUAAGCAACCUGAUGCUCCUCAAACUGCUCCAAGUCAGUGUCAUAAGAAUCCUUCAAAGACUGAAAGUGCAGAUUCAUUCUGUUGUUCAGCCUCUGCUCCAUAGCAUCCAAAUGAGCUAAUCCAAAAGAAGGUUCAUGCGGUGCACUCCCAGCUAUCUCCCUUGAGUUCCUACAGUCUGCUCAUCCGUCCCAGCCUGAUCAUCAUCUCUAGAUAAUUCUAGAUCCACUAUGGUGUAGUCCUCUUGAUAUUGCCAACUAUUUCCAUACUUGUAAAUACCCAUAUUGUGAAUCAAGCUCUCACCAACAAGGUGAUCUUUAUCAGUAGAUUCCAUUACAAUAGUGUUAGACACAUCGAUGAGCAGAUAAUCAAUAACUCUCAAAAUAAAGAUAUUGUAGGGUAGGAACUUGGAUUGCAAAGUAGUGACACUGUACAUGACCUUAAGGAUCUCUUCUGGCCAAUUUAUCAUGACGUUCUCCUUGACAGCAUACAUGAACCUAAAAUCAUUCACGGUGGGAUGUGCAUGAUUUGUGUUCCUUUGAACCAGAAUAUAUGCUAUCAGAUAGUGCAAAAUUCUAUUCUCCAUAUAUAACGAUCCAGUUUUAGUUAACUCUCCUUGGACAUACAAAUGAGGUCCUCUUAUACAUGACUUAUAAACUUCAGCAGCAUCAAACGAAUUUUUAACCCAAGCACAGGCACCAAUACUAGCACCAUUAGUAGACAAUCCACCCACGUUCAUAAAAAUCUCCUCACUUAACUCAAACAAUUUCCUAGAAAUCAUGGACCAAUAUUUUCCUAAUUUAUUCCUAAAGUUUGCAUAGAAUUCCCUAACUAGAGCAGGGUAUAUGUUUCCUUUUAACUCCAGAAAUAUAACAGCUCCUUGAGCAUGCAUGCCGUGCGAAAAAUCAAAGUUUUAAUCUGUCAUCCUAGUUAAGUUGGCAUACCUGAUAUACGUAGGUUUCCUUCCUUGAAAUUUAGACAACCGGGUCUCCUGCAGAAUGAGGGAGUAGUAAGGGUCUCCACGGUCCUGCCUCAUAUUUGGAUUUGAAGAUGAAGCAAUCGGAGUCCUUAGUGCGUGUUGUGAUGUUGUCUUAAUCCUUUUUGAGCGACCUCCAUCCAUUUUAGAUGGUAAAACCGAGAAGAUUGAGAGGUUUAAGAGGAUUUUGGAAGAAACCUAAACCUAGGGUUUGGAAUUGGGGAAAACGGGUUUCUUGGAAAUUUUGAGAGAGAUUGGAGUUUAAUGAAGUGCAAUAUGGGUAGAGGAUGAGGUUUAAUGUUCGUUUAAGCUAAGGAUUGAAAUUGUGUUGUUACCUCUGAGAUUUAGAGAGAAAAGGGGAUAGAGAGGUUUUAGAAAAGUGCCAAAAAUGUUGUUGUUUCUAUUCUAUACGUUGUCGUUAAUCGAUUAAGUGUUGCACUUAAUCGAUUAAUCAUAGUUAAAAUUCUACAUUUUUAGAAAAAAAAAGUCCAGGUAAUCAAUUAAGUUGAAAUGUUAAUCGAUUAAUUUUCGUAGAAAAUAAAGUUUUAGCUACUGGAACUUAUUUAAUCGAUUAAGUAGGUUUUUGAGUUUUAAAUGCAUGUUAAGAUUUCUAACCUAUAUUUAACAAUUUUAGGUAAAAACAUAUACAAAUAGAGCUUAUUAUACAAGAUCAUGAAUCAUAUUAGAAAUAGAAUGCAUUCAACAAGUAUUCAUUUUGAAGUAUAGAAGACAUUCAACAUGCGAGGCAGGUAAUAAUCUGCUUCACAAUUUAAUCAUGAUAUUUUUCAUCAAGAAUUUCAAAUUCUCUUCAAAUAACAUAGAAAGUAUCUUGUGAAAGGGGCUUGGUGAAAAUAUUUGCUAAUUGUUUAGUAGUUUCAACAAAUUCAAGCACACAAUCACCUUUUUGAACAUGAUCACGUAAGAAGUGAUGCCUAAUUUCUAUAUGAUUGGUUCUCGAAUGCAAGAUAGGAUUCUUGGACAGGUUUAAGGUACUUGUAUUAUCACAUUUAAUAGGAAUCUUUUCUAGAUUAAGACCAAAGUCCUUAAGUUGCUGCUUCAUCCAGAGGAUUUGAGCACACCACACACUAGCGGCAAUGUAUACCGCUUCGGCGGUGGACAAAGCAACACAAGCUUGACUUUUACUGUGUCAUGCCACUAAGGAACUGCCUAGUAAGUGACAAGUCCCACUAGUACUCUUCUGAUACAACUUACAUCCGAGGAAAUCAGAAUCGGAAUAUCCUACCAAGGAUAGUGAGGCAUCCGUAGGAUACCAUAAUCCCAUAUUUAUAGUUCCCUUUAAAUAUCUCAUGAUACGUUUAACAUCACUAUAAUGUGAGUCUUUAGGUAAUGCUAGAAAUCUUGCACACAUGUAGACACUAAACAUAAUAUCAGGGCGGCUCAUAGUCAAAUAUAAUAAAGAGUCGAUGAUCCCUCGAUACUUGGUUACCUCAAUAGCUUUUUCCUUUUCAUUUUUGUCUAGAUAGCAAGCGGACACCAUAGGUGUAGAAGCUUCUUUACAUUUUUCCAUGUCGAACUUUUUGAGUAGUUCCUUGUAGUACUUCGAUUGAUGAAUGAAGAUGCCACUUUCCAUUUGUUUAAUUUGUUGCCCGAGGAAGAAAGUCAACUCAUCCAUCAUCGACAUCUCAAAUUCUCCCUACAUCAUCUCAGAACUUUUUUUACAAAGAAUGUCAUUAGUAUAUCCGAAUAUUAUAUCAUCAACAUAUAUUUGAACUAACAAUACAUGGUCAUCUAACCUACGGAUAAAGAGAUUAGUGUCAACCAUACCCCUCUCGAACCUUUUUUCUAAAAGAAAAGAACUCAAUCUAUAAUACCAUGCUCUAGGAGCCUGUUUCAGACCAUAGAGAGCCUUCUUGAGUUUAUAAACAUGGUUUAGAUAUUUAAAAUUUUCAAAACCGGGUGGUUGAUCUACAUACACCUCCUCUUGAAUGUAACCGUUCAGAAAGGCGCUCUUAACAUCCAUUUGAAAGAGCUUAAAGUUCAUAAUCGAUGCGAAGGAUAAGAGCAUCCCAAUGGCCUCUAAUCUGGCUACAGGAGCGUAGGUCUCGUCAUAAUCGAUGUUUUCCUCCUGGUUGUAGCCUUUGGCCACUAAGUGUGCCUCAUUUCUUAUGAUCAAGCCAGAUUCAUCUAGUUUGUUACGGAAGACCCAUCUCGUACCAAUCAUUGGACGUUCUUUUGGUUUAGGGACCAUCUCGAACUGGUUUAGUUCUUCUUGCAUAGUUAUACCCCAGUGCACAUCCUCAAUGGCCUCAUCAAUGGUCUUCGACUCGAUCUGAGAUACAAAUGCAACAAAGUUAUAGAAUUUGCAUAAAGAACUACGAGUUACCACUCUUGUAGAGAUAUCACCAAUAACUUUAUCAAGUGAGUGAUCUUUCUUGGUCUUCCACGCGAUCGGCAAGUCUUGAUGCUCAUCCUGGACAAUUUGCUCUACUUCUUCUUCUUUGUCCUGGUCCAUGUCCUUAGAGUAUGCUUCUUCUAAAGCAUCUUUGUCACAAAGUUGGUUGAUACUCAAUAGAUUGUGCUCCAGGCCUUCAACGUAUAGUACAUUCACGAUCACUGCCUGAGUUGAGUUGCCAAUUGUGACAGUGCCAUGUCACUUCCUUUAUCUCCAUACCUGACAAAACCUUUUUCCUUCAAUUAUAGAUAUAGUAAUUUCGAUCUAUCACCAGUCAUAUGCCUCGAACACCCAUUGUCAAGAUACCAAUGUUGCCCAUGUUUUCGUGGACAUAUCUGCAAAAGAGAUCACUUGCUUCUUUCAAGUAUCCAAUUUAUAUUGGGUCCUUUUCUAUUAGUGACUGAGGAGUUAUCUCCCUUUUCACCCAAGCGUAUACACCACUCGACACACCAUACUUCCUGAUAUAACAGGAGUAGGAAGUUUGGCCAUGAGUGCCACAAUAGAAACAUAUAGGAACUUUCUUACUAUAAAAUUUUUUUUUGGUCGAGUUAUUGGUUUCCUAUAUGGUUGUUUCCUACGCGAAGGGGGGAUAUACCCUAAUCCAGUAUGAUCACAAAUGAUUCUAGUUUGACUAAGCAUAGUGUCUAGUUGGUUCUGACUCUCUAUGAGUUUUGUGAGUUUUUCAUUAAGUUUCAAAUUUUCAUUUCACAAAGUCUCGCAAGACUCAUAGACAGUUGAUUGACAUAAUUUAUCAUUUGAGAAAUCGCAUGUAUUACAAGAAAAUAUCAUAUCUAAGGUUUAAUUCUCAAGUUUCAGCUCGUCUAAUUCUUUCUUUAAUAGGACUAUUUUCUGUCCAUUUAUAAGGAUUACGCGUUUUCUAUUGGCACUAAUCCUAGCUAAGUUUUUUAAUUCCGCAUGCAAUUUGACAUAAGCGUUACAUAAGUCCUCAUAAGGAGGUGAGUCGUCAGAAGAAGAUGAGGUGUCAGAGUAUACCUCAUUAUUAGCCUCCUUUGAAUUAUUUGAGUCGUGAACUUCAUUUGUUCUGGUCAUUAGGCAUAGCUUGGAAGUCUCCUCCUCAUUUGAGGUGCUUGAUGUCGUAUCCUCCUCCAGUACAUGCCAGACAAUAUAGGUCUUCUUUGACUUGAAGUCUUGGGGAUUGCUCUUCUCUAAAUCAACUUUCUUGAGGUAAUCUUCUUUCUCUUCAGUAGGUUGAGACAUUGUUGCUUUAAGAGAUAUGUCUUUCUAUACAUUGUUGCCAAAGGCAUGGAGUCAAGAUCAUUGGAUUCCAUGAUAGCUGUGACUUUAGGUUGUCAUCUCUUGUCAAGGCAACAUUAAACUUUAUUAGCUAAUUCUCCUUUGGUGAAAGAUUUUUCUAGAGCAACUAACUGGUUCACUAUAUGUGUGAAUCAUUUUUGCAUGUCGCUGAUAGAUUCACUCGGCAACAUAUGAAACAGCUUGUACUCAUGUGUCAGGGCAUUCAUCCUGGCACGCUUGACUUCGUUGGUGCCUUCUUGAGUCACUUGUAAAGUAUCCCACAUUUCCUUGGCACUUUGACAUUAUGAAACCCGAAAGAAUUUAUCAUAUGACAAGGCCGAUGUGAUGAUGUUUUUAGCAUGUAGGUUGUGUUGAACCUUUAUACGUUCAUCAUCGGUCCAUAAACUCUUGGGUUUUUCUUUCGGUUCAUCGUCCACUAAAUGUAGUGGAAAGAAAGGCUCGUUGACCAUGGAUUCCCAAAUAUCCAAGUCAAUAGCUUCUAUGAAGAUUUUCAUUCGAACUUUCCAGUAGGCAUAUCCGUCGCCAUUGAAUACGGGAAGGCGGUUAAUGGAUGUGCCAUCAUCGUCGAAGGGGUUAGUGGAACCCAUUUAAUUUCCCUUUAGGAUCACGCAUAUGUGGUUGAGCUAGUAUGACGUACUAGCUCUGAUACCACUUGUUAGGUACCAAUGGACAGAACACACCUAGAAAAGGGGGGGUUGAAUAGGUGUAGCCAUUAUCAAUUACCGUUUUUUGCAACAAAGCCCUAUUCUGGAAAAAACCCCAGUUAGUCGAUUAACUCCAAGCCUUAAUGGAUUAACGCAUACAAACACAACAAGAUGCAGACGGGCUUCUUGCAUAGCAAGUCACCGAUAUUCAAGAACAGAUAAUGCAUAUAUUUUUAUACAGAAUUAAACUAGAUACAUCAACCUAACAGUAUCCAAAAUAUCAUCCAAUAUCAUACAAUAAUAAGACUUGAAAUGUGAAGAGAUUAGGGAUAGAAAAAGCUUGCAACAUGGAAAUUUUAUCCUGGUUCAUUUGCGAGUCCAGAACAUCAUGUAUAGUUACAUGCAAACUUCCAAUACAACACUUAGAUGCUCCCUUCUUGAAUCCAAUAACUCACUUUCUUGGUUUGACUAUCUUUCAAUCGCCCAAGAAAACCUUUCUUGCGAUCUAACCCUAACCAAGAACUCGUUCUAAACUCAAGACCUCUAAGUCUUGGUGAAGACACACCGAAUCUCUUAAGUGUUAAGACACUAAGAGACAAAUUCCCUAAUUCAUAACAGAACACAAAAUUGACUUUUAUAAAGCACAUUUUUGAUCAAAAUAUUACAAUGAAAACUCAACUAAAACCCAUAUACAAAACUCAUAAGAUAAUAUGAAUAUGUAUGAGUUUAUGAGAACUUGUGUCUUCACGAGGGCAGGAAGUCUUGGAUAGAAAGAAACUUUGGCUGGGGCCAGAAUCGUGAAAGGUGUGGUAUCCGAGUAGGCGAGUGUGAGGUCGAACCGAGUGAGCAAGCUCAUCAGAUUCAAGAAAAAAAAUUCUUGCUAGGUGUAUUGGAAGUGAAGUGUGAUUGUAUCAAACGAUUGUUUUCUAAUAGUGAAGAAAAAUCUCCUGAGAUCAGAAGGAGAUGUUUGAAUGUAGUUUGCUUGUGGACCCACAAACGAAUCAAGAUAAAAGUCAUUGAUCAUUCUUCUUUCCCUAUCUCUUUUAUAUUUUAGUCUUUAUUGAUUUCUUAAUUGUUUGAUUUCUGUGAUUUGUGCGUAUUGUUAUCAAUCUGUGUUAAAAUCAAGAAUAAAUUUAGGGCAAUAAAGAUUGUUAAUCACCAUUGUUUGCUUUGCAAGAAAUUUGGUUUUCAAGAAUAAAAAGAUACAAUAUCAUCAAUUAAAGCUAUUAAUAAUCGAUUAACUCGAGCUGUGAAUAAUUGAUUAACAAGGUUAAUAACCGAUUAAUAAUAGUAACUUUUUGUUUGGCGCAUAUGUUGGAAAAACGGGACUAGUGAUCCGCUACACCUAUUCACUCCCCCUCUAGGUGUGAUUUACCUUGAUAGUACCAAACAUUUCCUAUAUAAAUAUAAUACAACAAGCAACUUAUGUAUUUCCCAUAUAAAUACAACAAUAAACUUAUAUAUAUUUUUCAUCUCAAUACAACAAUCAACAACAUAACCACUACAAUUGAGAUAUUUCUAAAUUACAACUUUGCCACAAACAUUUAGCACAUAAAACAAUUAUCAAUCUUUCAUAAAUACUCACAUGUAUAUAAAUAUAAUUAUUUAACAACAUUUCAUGAUGAUGUAAUAUCAUAAGCAAGUAUCUCACAUUAUGGUAAACAAAAAUGAAUUCGUAUACAUAUAUUUCUAGAAAAUCAAACAUCUAAGAUCCUACACAUUGUCAUGAAAAAGAUUAAGAACUCUUACAUGGAAAACAAGUUUCCAUGGGAGUUCCUAAUCUACAAGAUUCUCCAAUUUUGAGGGAAUCAGAGAGAAAGACUUCACUGAAAUACUCUAAGAUCAUAAUGGUCUUCUCCCUUACCUGAGUCGCUUUAUCUCUUUACUUCAAUAUUGUUGCACCAACAUGAACGUUACUGCUAGCAAGUACUUGACCCAAGCACCACACUUCAUCAACCUAUAACCAACACAUAAUAAAUUUAAACAACCCUAAACACUUAAUACAUGGCUUUGGUCAUAGAGGAAAACAUAAAAUAAGGUCACACUUUAUGAAAGCUAGAUUCUUUUUCUAUAUUUAUAUGACAUUGAGAUUCUAUCACCACCAAAUAAAAGAAUCAUGAUUGAAUAAAAUGACAAUGGAUACAAAGGUAAAAGGACAUUAAGUUUUUUCUUCAUCUAUGUGAAUAUAUCUAGGUUUAUUUCCACUUUAUUACUUUCUCUUGAUUUUACAUAGAUGAUUUUGUGGGUGUGAUAAUUUAAAAAACAUUUAUAAUAAUGAUUUGACAUUAAUCAAAAUAUCUACAUAUUUCACUAUAGAUAUAGAGUUGAAUACAAAAUAAAGGACAUCUUAGUUUGUUCUUCAUUUAUGUGAAUAUGUCUAGGAUUAUUUCCGUUUUACUACUUCAUGAUGAUUUGACACAAAUGAUUGUUAUAGUGUGAUAAUAAUAUUCACCUUUAAGUUAUUAUAAAAUAAUUAGAGCAAAGUAUUCCACUAAUAUAUGAGAAAUGUAAUUUUAUUUUAUUUCGCCAAUUAGCCUUCAAACAACUUUUCACCAAACUACGGAAUUAAAAAUGAUAAAGCAGAAAUAAAAUAUGUUGUCAUAUGCCACGUGAAGACAAGCAAGUGAAAGCAAUGAUGUAAAAACCGUACCGUACUGACCGGUUCGAUCGGAAAACCAGCAAAUCGGACCCCUAAUUGGUACGAUACAGAUGUUGAACCGGCCAAGUAGACUUAAUUUGAAUUGCCAUUUUUCCCUCUAUGACUUCAGGAUGUUCUACUUCUUCUUUGAGUCUCGGAAUAGAAAAGAUGACCCAGUUGUUAUUUGGUUGGCCUGAGGACCAGGUUGCAGCAGUUCAUUAGCAUUGUUCUAUGAAAAUGGUCCAUAUAGAAUUGCAAAUAACAUGUCUCUUGUGUUGAAUCGCUAUGACUGGGACAAGGUUCUAUCUCUAUUCAUCACCUUUAUAAAAAUAUCUUAUAUUUCUGUACUUUUAUGCUCAUAAUUUGUUCCAUUUAGCGUUUCUCCCAAAUAAAAAAGCUAUUGUAUAUGUAUGUAUUUCCUGCUCAUAAACAAUACACAAAAGUCACUGGUCAACUUGGAGGUUGAAGAUAUUACAUAAACCUUUUUUUGUUAUUGGCAUGAACUAGUUUUUUUCCUUCAUUUUUGUAGGUUUCAAAUAUUCUAUUUGUAGACCAACCCACAGGUACAGGUUUCAGCUACUCUUCAGACGAAGAAGACAUUCGACAUGAUGAAUUGGGUGUUAGCAAUGAUUUAUAUGAUUACUUGUAGGUAAUGUAACACCCUUCCGUUAUCUCAUUUUCUCUAAACAUGAUAAGUCAUGUUGUAUAUAUAAUAUAUGUACUGAAUUUUACUAUAACAAUAGGCUUUUUUCAAGAAGCAUCCUGAAUUUGUGAAGAAUGACUUCUAUAUUAUUAGAGAAUCAUAUGUUGGACACUAUAUCACGGCUCUUGCAUCUCGGGUUCACAAAGGAAAUAUAGAAAAACAAGGGAUUCAUAUAAAUCUCAAGGUCUUGUUUCAUUUCUUAUAUAAUGUAUUUCAUGUCAUUAAAAAGAUCAAUUUAUUUUUUCUUUCUUCAUUCUUGUAAUCAUUCCUUUAUUCAAUCUUUAUGAUUGAUAACAGGGUUUCGCUAUUGGCAAUGGGUUAACCAACCCUACAAUUCAAUACUCAGCGUACAGUGACUUUGCACUACAGAGGGGAUUAAUUACAAAAAAAGAUCGAUAUAAUCUCAACAAGCUUAUCCUGAUUGUGAGCAAGAAAUAAAAUUAUUUCGUAUGACUCAUGACUUUGUUUUCUGUUAACAAUUUAUUGAAUUUGAUAGUAACUCCUACUAUUUCUCUUUGUGAUAUUCAUUGACACUAUUAAUUUGUGAUUGAUUUGACAGAAACUGAAGGAAGGUGGGGAUAGUUGCUCUUCUGCAUAUGAAACUUGCACUAGCAUAUUCAGAAACCUCUUAUCCAUUAUUGGCACUAACAUUAAUGUAAGAAACGAAAAUAUAAAUAAAAACUUUAUUUUUAACAACUUGUCCAACCAUUUGUGCAAAUAGUAGUUUGAUUUUACUGAUUGUUUUUUCGCUGUUAUUAAAACUACAGUUCUAUGAUAUUAGAAAGCAAUGUGAGGGAGAUCUGUGCUAUGACUUCUCAAACGUUGAUAAAUUUUUGAACAAUGACAAAGUGAAGGAUGCUCUUGGUGUGAAGAACUUGGAUUGUGUUUCAUGUAGUAGCACUGUGUACUAUGCUAUGCUUGAGGAUUGGAUGAAAAAUUUAGAAGUUGAUAUUCCUUCUCUUCUUGAGGAUGGGAUAAAAUUGCUUGUGUAUGCUGGUGAAGAAGAUCUUAUAUGCAAUUGGCUUCGUAAUUAUAGAUGGGUUCGUGCUAUGAAGUUGUCAGGCCAACAAAAGUUUAAGUCAGCACCUAAAGUCAAAUUUGUAGUUGAUGGUGCUGAAGCUGGAUCUUUAACAAGCCAUGGACCUCUUUCUUUCCUCAAGGUUUGUGUUAAGUGGUGUAUUCUAGAAUUUGACAUUGUGGAAUUUGUUUUUUGCUAACUUUAUUUUUGUGAUAUAAUAAUAGGUGUAUCAAGCAGGGCAUAUGGUUCCUAUGGAUCAACCAAAAGUUUCACUUGAAAUGCUGAGAAAGUGGAUGGGAGGGAAACUUUCUGUCUCUAAGAAAAAAGAUUAAUGCAUCUCUUAAUUCAUGCGCUCAGGACCUGUGAUAUUUUCUUGUUUAUAUGAAAUUUGGAGGGUGCGAAAUAAAUAAAUGAAUAUAUUUUUCUAAAUCUCUGUUGAGUCUGUUUGGUUCUCAAAUUUCUAUUAUUGAUGUUUCUAAAAAAGACUAAAACUUCCCUAAGACAUUGCAUCUUGAUACACAAGUAAACUUCAACUCGUGUAAACAUCUUCAAUAUGCCAAUAUUCAAACAAUCAACUAUAGUAUUACACUCACAGCUGAGUGAUUAGAGUUUUUUCAUUUGUCAAUUCAGAUAUUGGCUUUGAAGUAUCAUGUGAGAUAACUCAGUUGGUACAGUUUCCCAGAAGAAUAAGUAUAUGGAGGACUUCUAUCUCAAUACCUGCACAAUUUUUACUCCUUUCUUCUCUUGACAAAUUUUUUGCCUAUAAUGCAUGUAUACAUACAGACUUUGAAUUUGAAGUAUGGCUAAAAACAAAACAGAUGUAAAAUCAUAAUAGGAAUUUGAAAUACCAACCUCUGGUGGAGAGUUGUAGGUUCUAAAAAUGAAAACCAAGUCGUGAUAUGUAAUUUUUACAUAAAUAUAUUAUGUUUGUUAUCUAAAUUUGCCCAUCUAAUUCAAAUUAAGUUUGUAAUAAUCAACAUAAAUGUUAUAAAAAUUAUUUUAUAGAGUCCAAAUGUCUUCCUCCUAUGUUCUUGAUGGAAAAAAUAAAAAAUUAAAAAAAUGUGGAUAAUCUUAACUUCGAAGAGUUUGAAUCCAACUGUUUAUGAAAGCGUGAAUUCAAAGAGACAUCUUUAUUCGUGAAAGAGUAUGUAUAAAUAAGAGUGAUUAUGAUCUAGAAGUCAUGUGUAUUAAUCAAUAAUUAUAUAAGGUCUACAUAUUUCACUAUGAAUAUAAGGUUGGAUACAAAAAUAAAGAACAUUAAAUUUUUUCUUCAUCUAUGGAAUAUACCUAGGUUUAUUUCUGCUUUAUUACUUUCUUUUGAUUUGAUAUAAAUGAUUUUGAGGGUGUGAUAAUUCAAAUAAUAUUUAUAAUAAUGAUUUGUCAUUAAUCAAUAAUUAUAUAAAUCGGAUUACCAAAAAAUCUAUAUUUCACUAUGGAUAUAGAGUUGAAUACAAAAUAAAGGACAUCUUGGCUUGUCCUUCAUUUAUGCGAAUAUGUGCAGGAUUAUUUCAUUUAUGUGAAUAUGUGCAUGAUUAUUUCCAUUUAUGAUAACUAGUAUGUUGACAGACACUAUCGUGUCUGUCAACCCGCUUUCCUAUUGUUUGUAACAUGUUGUAAUUGAAUUUAUUAAAUAAAAUUGAACAUACAAAUAGUUUAGUAACUCACAUUUAUUUUUAUAGGUAAAAAAAAUGUAAGAUUAAGACAUAAUCAUUGAAAUAAAUCCUAAUAUAUAAAGUCUUCAUGAUUACUUCUUUUGAAAUAAAUAAAUCCUAAUAGUUUAGUAACUCACAUUUAUUUCUUUUGAAACUUUGUAUUAACAUUAAACUUUUGAUAAUAUCUAUCUAUAUAUUGUAAAUGUAAAAAUUUAUAUACAAUUAAUUAUCAUUCCACAAUUUAUUCAUCAUUUAUUUGUAUUAUCACAAUUAACAUUUUAUAAAACUCAUUAAGUGUUUAUAUAUUUUUUCCUAAUAAUAAAAAAAAAAUCACAAUGAAACAAAAUGGGCUUUUAGUAGUGGCCUCAAUCACCAUCAUCACAUGCCAUAUCCUACACUUUCCAUAAAAAAACACUUUUUUUGUUUCAGUUAUUACAAAAAGUGCUAUUCGUUUUCACUCUUUAAUCACUACCACCCUUUUCAGAUUUUCUCUCCACACUAUCUCAUUGCCCACUAUAUACUGAUCCCGAUUACCAUUUCAAUUUCAAUUUGUGCGAACUACAGAGUACCCAUAUCAGUAUUCAACAAAAGGUAACCUUCUCUCAUUUCUAGGGUUUUUAUUUUUCACUUUCUGCUUUAUUAAAUUUCUUUCUAUUAUUUCACUUUUAUAGUGUUUAGUUCAUUGUUAAUCUGGCUUUCUCUAUUGUCUUUCAAAUUUUCGUUCAAAGUUUGUACCUUUGCGGUGUCUUAUCAGAUCUUUUGCAUUUAAAGCUUAAAGAUAAGAUUUUUGUUACAAUGGGUUUGAUUUUUGGCUCAAUCAAAUUAUUUGUAUGUUAUUAACUGUCAAUGAUUUUUUGGGGUUUCUUUUCUCUGAGGAAACAACCUUGUAUGAAUUAAACAUAUCAAUGAAGUAUGAUUUGCAUAAAAUUUAAUCAAGGUGAUCAAAUGUUACCUUUGUAUAAAAUCCAUAACUAACCAUAUUAGGAAAAAUGAAUCAUUUAAAUUAAAUAAGACUGGGGCAUUUCAGGGAUUAUGAAAAAAACGUGACGGCAAUUUUGGGAUGUAAAAUUAGCUUCCUUUCAUUAAAACCUAAAAACCCUACAUUUUGAACACAACUUCUAUUUUUAAUUUCUUUAUUUUUUUUGAAUCAUUGAGUAUGAUUAACCUUGCAAUACUCUUUUGGUGAAACUGGAGAAGAUGUAUUAGUUUGUUAGUGAAAUGUCAAAUUGGUGCUUGAGAUGUUGUUCAAUUUGGUCAUUGAGAUUACAAAAAUAUCAAUUUGGUCUAUGAUUUUGCAUAUAGUCAUUCAAUUUUGUGAUUCAAUCUGGAACCAAAUUGACUGAUUUUGUAGUGAUGCAAAAUUGAUUGAUAUUGUCAAUCUCAAUGAUGAAAUAGACACUUUACUGUUUAUAUUGAACAUGAUCAUGUGGUUGCAAGCUUGCUUCUUAUUUGAAAAUGUUUGUGUUCUUUAAUAGAGCUUGAGGCACACUGUGAUUAGAUCUUAAUAUGUAAUGUGACAACAAAAUUUAGUUUUAGGAUUCUGGUCUGGUCUUUAGCAUGUGGUUGCCCAUCAAGUUAGAUGCAUUUGUUCAUAAUUUCUAGUAGGAUUGUAUGCUGAACACAGUAACUUUUUCCAACAAUUCCAUAAUCGCAUGAAGUUAAACAUAUAAAACAAACUACUACCAUUAAUUUUUUUGUUUCUAGAUGUGUGCUUAUAAUAAUUUUUUUAUGGAUUUAAGUUUUUUUAAGGCAUUCCAUCUUUCUGUUCCAUCUAUUAGCAUAGAUGAUUUUGUAUUGUUCUGUAAUUUGUUGAUGUGUAGAUUUAUUUUAGAAUAGUUUGUGUUAUUUCAUUGAUAUGGUUUUUAGUUGGUAUUUUGAUGUUUGUUUACUGCAAGUCAUUUUCAUUAUUUCUUGCUUCAUUAGGUUAAAUUUUAGCUUAAUUUUGUAUGUGUGAAAUCAACAGAUUUCUUAAUAAUUAUUAGUUUUCUAAUGCAUGAAAUUAUUAGCAAUAAUUAAGUCUUUAUAUGUGAUUUUAUUAAUUUUGUAUCAAUUUAUGGUUUUCUAAUGCAGUUCCAAAUUUUAUAUUGGUCUGUAAUAUGAUGAUGUGUUAUUUGAGAAUAUUUAAUGUUUAAUAGUUAUAAUAUUUAAUUUUUUCUAUGAUUAAUAAUCAAAGAUGAUAAAGUAUGACUUACCACGAUGAUGAACUUGCACUGCAACAAUCCAAUGUAAUUUGUUGAUGUGUUGAUUUAGUUAACAAUAUUUUGUGUUCUAUGUUGUCUUCGCAGUACUGACAUACAUAGAAAGAGUCAUGUAUACUAAUAUAUAAAGAUUCAUUAACAUAUAUAUAAUUUUAACUAACAUGAUAAAGUAUGUUUACCUAUAUGAUGAACUUGCACAACACCAAUCCAAUGUAAUUUGUUGAUGUGUUGAUUUACUUGCAUAUUUUGUGUUGUAUGUUGUCUUCACAAUACUGACAUACAUAGAAAGAGUCAUGUAUACUAAUAUAUAAAGAGUCAUUAACAUAUUUUAUGUUGUGUUGAUUUAUAUGACAAUACUUUUUCUGACACAUAUUUACUUCACAAUAAUGAUAUACACAACAGUAUACUAAUAUAUAUAAGAGGUUAUGAGGAAACUGUCCUCUGAUCCUUAAUCUCAGGGAAAUAGUUAUUUGUAUUGGUUAUAUAAUAUUGUUGUGGUGAAAUGAACGGAUAAGCUAUUAUUCAUAAAUUUCUAUUCUUCCUUUCUUAGGAGACUUGCUCUCUAUUUCAGUAUAUCAGAGGGAAGUUUACAAUGGUAUGUGAAGUGAUCAUUUUUUGGAAUAGGAAUACUAAUACACAGGGAAAUAAAGACCAUGGUGGGUAUUUAGUAUUUACUCUUUUACUUAUAAACAUCAUUCAUUGUUUUUAUAAAGAUAGUAUAUCAAGGCCAGUGUCUUGGCAAUACUGAUAAACGUAGAAACAACACAUAUUUAUUUGAUAUAUAAAGAGAAAUUAAUUAUCAUUAUCACAGAAAAGAGAGAUUAAUUGAAAAGGAAACAAAAAAAGAGAAAUACCUGAAGGUUGCAAAAAUGUGAGAUAGAAUAGAGAAGGAAAGGAAAUAUUGACCAACCAUGUUGUGAUUUAUAGUUUAUAGGUUGAUCAUCUUUUAACAACAGAAUGGAAGUUUUAUUAAAAAUAUAAACUGUCAUUGUCCAUCCACUUUCUCCCUAAAAAAAGGAAACCACCAUCGCAUACAUGGUGGAAGUUUAAAACUUACUUAUCCACAUUCUCUUGAAAACAAAACUGUUGUGGCAGUUUAAAAUGAAACAUUAAUUAUAUAAACAGACCUCAUAAACUAUAGAAUAAUUAUAUUUUAGACUUAUAAAGGGUAAAAUAGGGAAUAGAAAUUACUCCACUGGUAGUUAAUUUAAGUUUUCUCUUUAUAUAUUAGUAUAGAUAUUUACCUAUAAGUCAUUAUAAAAUAAUUAGAGCAAAGUAUUCCACUAAUAUAAGGAAAAUGGAAUUUAAUUUUAUUUCUCCGUUAGCCUUCAAACAUCUUUUCACCAAACUACGGAAUUAAAAAGGAUAAAGCAUAAAUAAAAUAUGUUGUCAUAUGCCACAGGAAGACAAGCAAGUGAAAGGUCAAUGUUUUAGAAUUUAUUUGAGGCUUGUAAGUACGAAUUUGAAAGACCACCGAUUUUAAUAUCCCCAUUUUGGAAGGUAAAUAAUCUAUGAUGUUACGUUUGCUUCUAGUGGGAAUUUUAUCACACCCUAAUUUAGAUGAAAUCACCUGCUAAAUUUUAUAAUUAGCAAAUAUUUUGAGGAAUAGAGGAAGAAGAGAAAUUAUACAUUUAUCGAGAUUGAAACUCAAAUGUUCAUACUUUAUUUUUCGUAGCUAUGCUAACUAAUCUUCAAUAAUGAUGAGAAUAAUGAGAUGAGUGUAAUAGGCCCCACAUGAGGGCCACCGUCCCUUAUUUCUCAAAUCAGUUAUUCAUUUGGUGGAAUUUUCUCAUUGAGUACUUCCAUAUUAGCAUUUCUAAUAAAAUGAGUUUUGGCCGUGAUAAUAAAAUAAUAGGGGGUUAAGUGGUGUAUUCUAGAAUUUGACAUUGUUGGGAAAAAAAAUUUUGCUAACUUUUUUUUUGUGAUAAAAUAAUAGGUGUAUCAAGCAAGGCACAUGGUUCCUAUAGAUCAACCAAAAGCUUCACUUGAAAUGCUGAGAAAGUGGAUGGGAGGGAAACUUUCAGUCUCUAAGAAAAGAGAUUAAUAUCUUUCUUAACUAGCCGUGUACUCAUGCACUUGCACGGGUUGCUUCUUUAUUUAUGCAUAAUGCAAAUAUAAUAUAUAUAUAUUUUAUAAUAUCAAUAAAUCAUGUAUUAAAUCAUUAUAUUUUUCCAUUCAUAUAGGUGCAAUAUUAACAUUGAUUUUUAAGUGUAUAUGUAGAAUAUUAACAAUUAUAAAUGCGUUUGUAUAAGCAUUUAUUUGUUGAAAAUGUGAUUAUAGAAAAUAUUUGAUUCUUAAAUAACUCAAUAAAUAAAAUUCAAAUUGUAUUGGAAAAUAUUUUUUCUGAUAAUUUUGAUCAAAAUAAUAAAAAGAGUCUAAUAAUUGAUUUGUUAUAUUCCUAAUUAAAAUACAUAUAUUUUCCAUGAAUACAUAUAUCAUUGUUAUCUUUUAAUUAAAUAAUAUAAUGAUUGUAAUUAAAUACAUGUGACCCGUGCAUUCGCAUGACUAAAAACACACAUGUUACCCGUACAUUCGCAUUACUAAGACAACACAUGUUACCCAUGCAUUCGCAUAGUUAAAAAGCACAUAUUACUCAUACAUUCAUAUUAUUAAGAAUAUACAUCUUACUUGUGUAUUUGCAUAUUCAAGCACAUAAGAAAAUAAAUUGAUAAUUUUUAAUUUGAAUUUUCUACAAUUAGUAUUAAAUUAUUAUUAACAUAUAAAAUAUAUAAAAAGUAGGAAGGAAAAAAUGUGAGAAGGAGGUGACAUGUGACAUGAAGGAAAAAAUGUAAGGAGAAAUUGACAUGUGGCAUGAGAGAGUUUCUUUUAUUAUAUUGUUAAUAGAGAAAAAUUAAAAUUCAAAGAAUCUGAACUGUAAUAGUAAAAUUCAGUGCGAAAAAUGUCAAAAAACUUUGAUGAGCUGAAAAAGUACAAUUGUUCUUAGAUUAAUGGUAAAUAUUAAAUUAUAUAGAUAGAUUAAUGUAAAGAAAUAAUUUGAAUGUGAAAAAUGAUUUCAAUUUCAUCUAAUGUUCAAUGACUAUUACUUUUUAACAUAACAAAACAUAGGUGUUGUAAACAAUCAAUUUUAGUGGGGUAGCGACAUGGACCAAUCACUAAUUAAUAUUAAAUUAUUAUUAGCAUAUAAAAUAUAUAAUAUAUAGAAAGAAAAAUAUGUUAGGAGCAGGUGACAUGUGGCAUGAAGGAAAAAAUUCAAGGAAAAAGUGACAUAUGACAUAAGAUAGUUUUUUUUAUUAUAUUAUUAAUAGAUAGAUUCAUGUGCUUAGAACCUAUGAUAUAUUUUCUUGUUUAUAUGAAAUUUGGAGGGUGGGAAAUAAAUAAAGGAAUAUAUUUUUCCUUCAUUUAUGUGAAUAUGUUUAGGUUUAUUGUUGCUUUACUAUUUUAUGAUGAUUUGACAUAAAUCAUUUUUAUAAUGUGAUAAUAAUUUUCGCCUUUAAUGAUUAUAAAAUAAUUAGAGCAAAGUAUUUCACUAAUGUAAGAGAAAUGGAAUUUAAUUUUGUUUCCCUAGAUAGCCUUCAAACAUCUUUUCACCAAAGUAUGGAAUCAAAAAGUUUAAAGCAGAAAUAAAAUAUGUUGUCAUAUACCAAAGGAAGACAAGCAAAUGAAAGGUCAAUGUUUUUUUUUGUAUUUUGAAGGCUAAAAUUUAAAACUAAAGGAUUUUCCUCUCUCAUCCUCUGACUCGAAAUUUCAUUAAUCAUAAUUCUUAUUUUUUAUUAAAUAUAAGUUCUUGAUUCUAACUAAUAAAUUAAUUUUUGAUGACGAGUAUCAACUUUUAAAUCUUAUAGCAAACCAAAUAUUCCAAUUAAUCAUGUAAUCAUAAAUAUCAAUUAUUAUUAUUAUUAUAUACUAGCGUGUUGACAUGCACUGUCGUGCCUGUCAACCCACUUUUCUAUCGUUUGUGAUGUAUAGUUUGUAUUUUAUAAAUUCAAAUAUAGUUUUUUGCACUAAAUUUACGGUUGAAUUUAUUCAAUUGGUCUAAUAUUCAAUUUUUUAAAUACACUUUUAAAAUAAGAAGAUAAUAAGGAUAAAAUAAGAAAUAAAUUCAAAUAUAGUUUUUUGCACUAAAUUUACGGUUGAAUUUAUUCAAUUGGUCUAAUAUUCAAUUUUUUAAAUACACUUUUAAAAUAAGAAGAUAAUAAGGAUAAAAUAAGAAAAUAAUAUUAUAUGGUUUUUUGGUAGAAAUAAAAAGAUAUUGAGGACAAAAUAGGANNNNNNNNNNNNNNNNNNNNNNNNNNNNNNNNNNNNNNNNNNNNNNNNNNNNNNNNNNNNNNNNNNNNNNNNNNNNNNNNNNNNNNNNNNNNNNNNNNNNCAAUCCAAUGUAAUUUGUUGAUGUGUUGAUUUACUUGCAUAUUUUGUGUUGUAUGUUGUCUUCACAAUACUGACAUACAUAGAAAGAGUCAUGUAUACUAAUAUAUAAAGAUUCAUUAACAUAUAUAUAAUUUUAACUAACAUGAUAAAGUAUGUUUACCUAUAUGAUGAACUUGCACAACACCAAUCCAAUGUAAUUUGUUGAUGUGUUGAUUUACUUGCAUAUUUUGUGUUCUAUGUUGUCUUCAUAAUAUAGACAUACGUAGAAAGAGUGUAUACUAAUAUAUAAAGAGUCAUUAACAUAUUUUAUGUUGUGUUGAUUUAGUUGACAAUACUUUUUCUGGCACAUAUUUACUUCACAAUACUGAUAUACACAACAAUAUACUAAUAUAUAUAAGAGGUUAUGAGGAAACUGUCCUCUGAUCCUUAAUCUCAGGGAAAUAAUUAUUUGUAUUGGUUAUAUAAUAUUGUUGUGGUGAAAUGAACGGAUAAGCUAUUAUUCAUAAAUUUCUAUUCUUCCUUUCUUAGGAGACUUGCUCUCUAUUUCAGUAUAUCAGAGGGAAGUUUACAAUGGUAUGUGAAGUGAUCAUUUUUUGGAAUAGGAAUACUAAUACACAGGGAAAUAAAGACCAUGGUGGGUAUUUAGUAUUUACUCUUUUACUUAUAAACAUCAUUCAUUGUUUUUAUAAAGAUAGUAUAUCAAGGCCAGUGUCUUGGCAAUACUGAUAAACGUAGAAACAACACAUAUUUAUUUGAUAUAUAAAGAGAAAUUAAUUAUCAUUAUCACAGAAAAGAGAGAUUAAUUGAAAAGGAAACAAAAAAAGAGAAAUACCUGAAGGUUGCAAAAAUGUGAGAUAGAAUAGAGAAGGAAAGGAAAUAUUGACCAACCAUGUUGUGAUUUAUAGUUUAUAGGUUGAUCAUCUUUUAACAACAGAAUGGAAGUUUUAUUAAAAAUAAAAACUGUCAUUGUCCAUCCACUUUCUCCCUAAAAAAAGGAAACCACCAUCGCAUACAUGGUGGAAGUUUAAAACUUACUUAUCCACAUUCUCUUGAAAACAAAACUGUUGUGGCAGUUUAAAAUGAAACAUUAAUUAUAUAAACAGACCUCAUAAACUAUAGAAUAAUUAUAUUUUAGACUUAUAAAGGGUAAAAUAGGGAAUAGAAAUUACUCCACUGGUAGUUAAUUUAAGUUUUCUCUUUAUAUAUUAGUAUAGAUAUAGAUGCUUAAGAAAUUAAUAUAAUUAUAUAACUGAAACAAAACACAUCUAUGGAUAAGAUAAAACACAAUACCCUAUCUUGCUAAGCAAGAGUCAAAAAAUAUUUUUAACAUAUAUAAUUGCAUAGUGAUUACAUGAUAAUAAUAACAAUAAAAUUAUACUAUCUCUUACCAUAACAUUGGGAUAUAUUCUUAAAGUAAAUAGAAUGCACUAUUACCCUUAUUUUAUCAUAAAAUAAAAUUACAAUAUGAUACUUUGUAUUCUUUAUUAAAUAAAUCAUAGUAAUUACAAAAAUUGUACAAUUCAUAAUUUUUAGGAUGUUGCAAGAAGAAAUUGGAGAAAGCAAUGUCAACACUAUUACUUAUGAUAUAUUUUAAGGUUAAAUACCACUGAGAUUUAUGAUAUUUAUGCUAUAUUUUUAAGAGUUUUUACGUUAUAGCGAUAUUUAAUUUUUAUCUUACUAUACUUGAGUUUUAGGGUAUAAGUGGUUCUGGUUUAAACCACGAAACUCGUAGAAUCGAACUUGACCAAAUCACAAAAUUUGGUUUGGUUCAGUUUCGCGGUUCGGUUAGGUUAUUUAUUUAAGGAAUCAUUUAUGUUCAGUUCGGUUCACGGUUUCAUAAAUUUAGGAUUCAUUGGAACCGAACCACAUAUUAAAGAAGUAGUUAUUAGAGAAUGAUUUUGUAUUGUUGUUUAAAUUCAUCAACCAAUUUUUUUUUGCUUAAAUUAACAAUUUUGUGUGAAUUGUAGUAUUAUAUAUGUUAUUAUGUUAGUAUUGUAUAUGUUAGGACUUACUAAUUGUUUAUCAGUGUCUUCAUGAUUUGGAGCAUAUCUUAUAACUCUUGUGGUCUUUGGUUUAAAAGUAACAUAUACCAUAAAUUAUUAUGCAUAUUACUAAUUAUGAAUUAUAAUAUUAUAUAUGUUAUUAUUAUAUUAUUAUAUAUUUUACUAAUUAAUAUAUAUGUUACUAAAUUAUUAUAUAUGUUACUAAAUUAUUAUGUAUGUUACUAAUCUUAAAUUAUAUUGUUAUAUAUGUUACUAAUAGAUAUAUAUAUUCUAUUAAUUGUGGAUUGUUUAUUUUAUAUGUAGUCGUUCGUUUUUUCUUCCUGAAUUACAUAAUUGUUAUAUAUGUUAUGAACAAACAAUUAUGAGUUUUAAUUUUUUUACUUUAUAUAUGUUCAUAUUUUCUUAUAAUAAUAGUGUGUUUCCUUAUAUGAAUAAAGAACUUCUCUUGUAAUACAUUUUGAAAUUUCAAUUGAUGCAAUAUUUUUUUAAAACAAGAAAACCAUGGUACCGAACCAUUCAAGAGUAGUUCAGCUCGGUUCCAGUAGUAAAGAGAAAAAAUAUAUACAGUGUAAGAGUUUUAUACAUUGUCAGUUCAUCAUUCACCAUUCAUUUUUAAUCAUUAUUGACUCUUCAAAAAAAUUAAUCCAGAUGAAUAGUGGAUGAUGUAAUAACUAUGUAUAAAUCUUUACACUCAUAUUGUAUAGAUAUUAACUCUUAUUAAAAAUGUGCUUUGUAAAUACAGUUAUUUAAACUUUUUACCUUUGCCUAAGUAAAAAAAACAUGAAUAUUAUGUAACAUUGUGGAGCCUUUUUAAAAAAACAAUGAAAAGGGGAUAGCGCCCUUUAAGCCCAUGUAAAUUGGGGAUGGAAACCCUAUUUUAUGUCUCUUUAAAAAGACAAAGUAACAACCAAUGAGGUGGCAGCUACAAAAAAUAAAAAAAGAGGAGGUAGGCAGAAUCUACAGCUUGAGAAGAUGGCCAUUAGGCUGCAAAUAUGAGAGCCUUGGUUAUGUGAAUACCAGGUUUGAAGUUAUAGAGAGUAGAAGCUUCAUCUCUUCAUCUCAUCGAUGUAAGUAAUUGCUUCUUUGUAUUUUAAUAUUUAGUACAUUGGAGAGGUUGUAGACUUAGCCUUCCUUGGUUGAUAAGAAGAAGUUAAGAGGAAAGAAAGAGGUGAGAAAGAGGAUGGAGAGAAAGAAAGAGGUGAGAAAGAAGAGUGGAAUUAUGGGUUGUUUGGUAGAAGAGAAAAAAAAAAGAAAAAAGAAGAGAGAGAACCUCACUUAAUAUCUCCACAUAUUGAAUAGAUAAUUAUACACUUAUUCACAUUAAUAAUAUUUUCAUUCUAGAUUAAAAUUAAAUAUUAGUUAGUUUUUUAAAAAUAUAAUGUUAAUACUAAAUAUAUACUUUUAUGUAAAUGAUUAAAUAAUUAAAGUGUCUAAAAAUAAUAUUGAAAUAUUUAAAAUUAACCUUAAUGAUAAUGAUGACACACAAACAAUAAUAUUUUUAAUUCCAUGUGUGACUCACAAUUUUGUUAGGGAUAUGUCAUUGGAGAUAAAUCAUAAAUAUAAUAAUAGUAAAAUAAAAAUAAGUGAACAAAAAUGAUAAAUAAAAUGUGAGCUUUUCUAUAUACAAGUUUAUCUUUGUAAAUAAUCAUAUACUAACUUUAUUUUCUAAGUUUUAAGUAUAAAAAUGUAUUUGGUUCUAAAAUGAGUAAAUAAAAUAAAAACAAAUAUUAAUUAUACUUUUAAAAUAGUUAAAAAUAUUAAAAAAAAGUGUCACAUAAAACGAUUAUAUAUGAUAUUUAAUGGUUAGAAUUUCACAAUAAUGUAUUUUGCACAUGUAUGUGAUAGUGUGAAAUUAGUGGGGACAAUUUAGGCAUUUGUAAAUUUUUACUCUCUCAACUCAUUUUCUUCUCAUCUAUGGAGAUAAUAAAAUUUGUUAACCUUUUUCUUUCUCUCUACUCUCUUUCGGUUCACAACCAAAUAGAAGAAAUGUGUAAACUCCUCUUACUUUCUCUCUUCUCUUUUUCUCCUCUCAUACUCAGAAUCUAGCACAGAGCAUUAGAGGUGCACGUUUUCAAGGUGCCCAUGCAACUCUUUCAACAGGUGUCUAUCAUUUGCGCUACCUUAUUUUUGUAGUAUAAUAUCAAUGCAAUGCACUGAAAGUAUACAUAUUUUUCUCUAUUUUUUUAUCUUGUCAUUUUGCUACUGUGUAUGUAUAUUUUAAUUAGAACUUACUAUAGCUAUAGUUUUGGCUGCCGACCUUCUUCACAGUUUGUAUGCAAAUUUUAUUUUCAUAAUAACUAUGAACAUGAGAUUAGAAAUGAAGUUAGAGGCCAAGAUAGAGAUUAAUAGCAAUUGUUUUCGUUUAGAUACUUGAAUUUGAGUUCAUGGGAAUGCCACCCAAAGCAAAUAAUAGCUAUCAUCCAUAAAUAAAAAAACAAUUACACUACAAAAAUAACAAGAAUAAAAGGGUCUUUCUAAGAUUUUAUCGUUGAUAUUUUUAAAUAAUUUAAAAAAAAACAAUGUAAAGUAUGUUAAUGUAAUUAUGUUGAGUACUUUGAUGUGCCAUUUUAUGUUAUUCAAAGCAGUGUGAGAUAAUCUCACUUUAGGUCUUGUACCUUGUCGAGUUGUCAUGUCAUCUUAUCUUGUUAAAUAUUUUUUAAAUAAUUAAAAAACAAUGUAAAGUAUGCUAUAGAUUUCAUGCUUUGAUGUGCUACUUUAUGUUGUCCAAAGUAAGCUAAGGUAACACUACUAUAGACUUUGUGUCUUGUCGUGUUACCUUAUCCUGUUAAUUUUAUUAAUAAUUUUAAAAGUAAUAUAAUAUAGUCUAUUAUAGGUCUUGCGUCUUGUCAUGUUACCUUAUUUUGUUAACUUUUCAAAUAAUUUUAAAAACAAUAUAAGGUAGCUCAUUAUACACCUUGUGUUUUGUCGAGUUACCUUAUUUAUUUUUUAAUUUUCUAAACAAUUUUAAAAACAAUAUAAAGUAGUUUAUUAUAGACCUUGUGUCUUGUCGUGUUAUCUUAUUUUUCAAAUAAUUUAAAAAAUAAUAUAGGGUAACUCACUAUAGGCCUUAUAUCUUGUCACUUCACCUUAUUUUGUUAAUAUUUAAAAUAAUUUUAAAAAAUAAUAUAAGGUAGACGACUAUAGGUUUUGUGUCUUGUCGUGUUACUUUAAUUUGUUAUACUUUUUACAAAUAAGUUUAAAAUGCAAUAUAAGGUAGCCCACUAUAGGCCUUGUGUCUUGUUGCAUUACCUUAUUUUGUUAAUUUUUCAAACAAUUUUAAAAAGCAAUAUAAAGUAGUCCACUAUAAACAUUUUGCUUUGCCGCAUUACCUUAUUUUGUUAUAUUUUUCAACUGAGUUUAAAAAGCAAUAUAACAUAACAUAUUAUAAACAUUAUGCCUUGUAGGGUUACCCUUUUUUUCAAACAAUUUUAAAAAUAUAUAUAAAGUAGCCCACUAUAAAGUGAGUGUCUUGUUGUGUGUUUAUGUUAUACAAAGCAAGGUGAGCUAACCUAGUUAUAGUCCUUGUGUCUUGUCGUGCUAUCGUACUGUUAACUUUAUAAACAAAUAAAAUAAAAAUAUAUCAAUCAAUCAACCAUUUUCCAGAAGAACUACAAAAUAUUGAUUUCUCUAUUGCAGCUACAGAUAGUAGGAGCUAUGAAGCACGAAUUCGUCAAACACCUUCACAUGUCAGUGUCCGACACGGAUACGCUUGGAUUCGCGAAAGAUACGUAUCCAUAUAGUAUCCAAAAAUUAAAAAAAUAAAAUAAAUAAAUAUUAAGACACGUAUUCCAUUCGUUUUCAAUAAAAUAUAGGAUAUAUGGAUUCGUUUUCAGUAAAGUAUAGGAUAUAUAGAUUCGUUUCUAAUAAAACAGGAUAAGAUAUAUUCGUUUCCAAUAAAACAGGAUAAGAUAGAUUCGUUUCCAAUAAAACAUGAUAACAUAGAUUCGCUUUCAUUAAAAUAGGAUAAAAUAUAUUUGUUAUGGAGGACAAUGAUUUUAGGAUAGAUUCGUUUUCAUUAAAAUAGAACAAGAUAGAUUUGUUAUGGAGGCAGUGAUUUUAAAUUUCCAUAUUUUUUACUUUGGAUAUUUUGAUUUACACUUAUAAUUUUAUCAUAUUUUAUGUGUUUUUAUUAUUUUAUACGUGUAUCCCUGAACGUAUCGUAUCCUGUAUUUUGGAAAAAAUAUGUGUUGAUGUAUCGGAUACGUAUCGUACCCGACACACGUAUCAGUAUCCGUGCUUCAUAGCGUAGGAGCAUGCACUUCUCUAUGAGGCACACAAAAAAUUAAAAAAAAAUAUUGGUCUUUAUUUUUAUUUAAUAAUGUGAGUGUAAAAUUAAUGUGUUGAAGAAUAUUCACAUGAUCAAUCUCAGUACCGUUUUUAUAACAAACGGUAUGAGAUAUCUAACAUAUUUCUCGUCCAUAACCGACUCCCAAACUUAAAUUUAUCUCUGUGAGCUGGUUAAUCAUUGUUCUUUAAGUUAUUUUUUCAUUUUUUCCGUCUAAAAAAUAUGAUAACGACUCAUUACAUUUAUUUGCAUUAUUUUCGUCAAGCCCACAUAGCAACAUACUUAAGAUUAAUUUUUAAAUAAUUAGUUUAUUUUAUGCAUAUAUGAUUAAAUUAGUUAAAAUGGGGGUUUAUGAGGAAAUUAACCUAUGUAUGAUUAAAAUCUUAGAUUGACUUUAUUAGAUAAGACAAAAAAUCGAGUAGGGAUGACAAAAAUAUUCGUCUCGUGGGUACUCGCUAAAAUACCUGCAACGGAUAUGCGUAAAAAUAGUUUAUAGAUGAGAACGAGUAUCAUAAUAUCCGCCUCAUAGGUACCUGUAUAUUUAUAAAUUUAUUUUUUAAUUAAAUAAUUUAUAUUUAUAUUUUAUUUUAUAGUCAUAUAUUAUCUAUUUUUGUAUUAUUUUAUAAUGAAUUUUAGUGAUUAAAAUAUAUGAUAAAUUUAAUAUGUAUAUAAAUUUAUUAUCCAUGUAAUAAUUAUUUUAUAUGUAUUGAUUAUUAUAAAAUCUAUAAAUAAAUAUUGAAACUUAAGACUCGUUGAGUACCCGCAAAUAUCUGCUACCCGUGUAGGUACUCAUAAAUAGUGUGAGUAUGGAUAUGUGAAAGGACUAUCCGUACUCGUUCUGCCUCAUUGUCAUCCCUAAUUACAAGAAUUAUAAGAAAAAAAUCACUUAAUCAACUAUUAUUAGAUGUAAAAUUGGACAAGAUAAUUUAAGAGGAUGGUGGAUUGUGCACAAAGAUCUUCUAGUCAUAAGAUACUCUCCAAAAUUAAAUUAAUCUAUAUUGUUUUAUCAUAUGGUUUAUUAGAUAAUCAUUAAUUAACGUCUAAGAAACCGAUUCAAAAAACCUUCAAACCCAUAAAAAAACCUUCAAACCGACCUAGAAUGUAAAUAUUUGCAUCAUUUGGAACAAGUUUGUAAUAAAUGAUUGAAUUGGAUUCUGGAUCAAUUUAUAAAAACAGAAAUGAUCCAAACUGAACCAUAUAUGAUACAAUAUUUAUAUUUAUUAUAGACUAAAGUUACCUUUUUAUUUUAAUUUAUGAUUUAAUGAAUAAUUUUGCAUUUCUUUUAUUAACAAAAAAAACUCAUAGUAAUAUAUUGUUGUUUAAAAAAUUAUUACGUCAAAUCUCACUAUUUAUUUUGUAUCUUAAAUAGAAAAACUUAAUAAUAAUGAUAAUAAAAGAACCAGACCAAACAACAAAUAAAUGUUUGGACUGAAUUCUAUAUUUAUUUCAAUCACUUACUAACUCAUUUGUUACUUGUAUUUACUCUCACCUGUUCUUCAACAAUUUCCCUAACUCUCAUACUGAUUUAAUUGUUGGAGAACAUUUUAAAGUAUAUCCUCUGACAAAUCCAAACUAUCUAAACUUAAGAGAAAGCCACCUCAAUUAGGCACAAGAUCCGAUCAUCCGACCAACCAUCAAACAACAAUUCAUAUAUAAAUAUAUGAAAUAACUAACGUUAUUUUAUGCAAAUGCAUGAAUAAAAAUGAUAUUUAUCAACCAUUCUAUUAUAUAAUUUUGAGAUUUUCUCUCUGCAAGUAUUUUUCUCAACAUUUUACGUUUUAAAAAGAAAAAAAUGUUUUAAUUAUCUAAGCUCUCAUUCGUUUUGAGAUGAGACAUAUGCUAGAUCUUUUUUCAAAAUAAAAUAUAAACUAGACAAUGAUUCUAUAAAAUUAAAAGUUAAAACAUUGUGUUCAAAAUUAAUAUUACAUUUGUUUAAACAAAAAAUAUUGUUUAUCACCAUAGCGUCAAUUUUAUUACAUUUAAAAAAUAAGAUAUUGAGAGGACAAAUCAUAAAAAAUUAUCUUCUGAUAAAUUUGUUUUUUUAUUCUGUUGUUUUUAAUUUUAACAAUCACUACAUUAUUUUAUUUUUAUUAUUUCAUUUAUAGUUAGGAUUUAUGAUAUGAAUGACAACAAACAGAAAAAUGCAACCGUAUCAAUAAUAUAAUUUGUACAACCAUCUUCUAAAACUAAUUGAGGGCCUAACAAUUUUCCUUUCUCAUUCCAAAAAAAGUUGUAGGAAUUGUUGGCCAUAGCUGUUGGAAUUUAGAAACCAAGUGCCUUUGGUUUUUCUUUACUACAUUACUUGCAGAACACGAAAGAGAAGAAGAAAAGAGAGUGAGUGAAGAAAUCUUGAGAAAAUUAGAGAGGAGAGAAAUUGAGAGAAGAAAAGGAAGAAGGGGAAAGUAAUUCACUGGUUUUUCAAUGUAUUCAAAAUGCACACAUAUAUCAAGCUUGAUCAAUUCUAUUUAUAGAAACUCAUAACUAAUUUGGUUGUUAUGAUUUCUAUUUAUAGUAAUGUGCUAAACUAACUCAAUCAUCCUAUACAAUAAGCUAUGAAUUACAAAAACAAUUACUACAAAAUCAACAUUCCCCCUUAAUUCAUGCUUUCUAUACUAACUAUACCCAAGAGUGUUCUUUGUCUUUCAAAGUCUAUCUUCUUCAAAGGCUUAGUUAGCAAAUCUGCCAAUUGAUCCUUGGAUUGACAGAUUUCUAGCUUUAGAGUGUUCUUCUCUACUUGAUCUCUUAAGAAGUGAAACUUGGUCUCUAUGUGUUUGCUUCUACCAUGAGCCACAUGAUUCUUUGCUAGAUUUAUUGCUGAUUUGUUAUCAACAAAUAACCACAUAGGUUCAUCAUCCUUCUGCAUUCCCAAUUCAGUGAGUAAUGCCUUCAACCAUACUGCUUGUUGACCACCAAAACAGGCAGCAACAUAUUCUGCCUCGCAUGAAGAGAGGGCUACUAUUUUCUGCUUCUUUGAACACCAACUUAUUGGUGCUUCACCAAGCUUGAAUAGGUAGCCACUUGUGCUCUUUCUAUCAUCCUUAUCACCACACCAAUCUGCAUCAGUGUAACCAUGGGUGGUACUCUUUCCACUGCUUUGUUUUGUGUCUCUUGAUGCAGGGAACAAAAUGCCCAAAUUCAUACUUCCUUUAAGAUACCUUAGUGUUCUUUUCACUGCUACUAGAUGAGUAUGUCUUGGAUUUUCCAUGUACCUGCUUACUAGACCCACUGCAUAGGCAAGAUCAGGUCUUGUAUUGCAUACAUAUCGAAGAGAUCCUAUUAUUUGUCUGAAGAGAGUUGAGUCUACUGCCUUAUCUUCUGAGUUCUCAACGCUGGAAUUGCAUAGUGAGUGACCAGUUUCAAUUGGAGUUGAAGCUGAGUUGCAUUCUAGCAUUUUGAACCUUCCAAGUAUAUCAGUAAUAUACUUCCUUUGAUGCAUUAGUAUACCUGCUUCAGUUCUGAGAAAUUCAAUCCCAAGGAAGUAUGAAAGGCUUCCCAAAUCAGUCAUCUCAAACUCAUGUUUCAGCUUUUCUUUAAACCAUUCAAUCUCCUCAAUGUUGUUGCCUGUAAUUAGCAAGUCAUCCACAUAGAGGCAUGUAAUGAUAGAAGCUUCUGUAGUGAUUUUCUUGUAUAGAUGCCAUGCUCAUUGAUGCAUCUCUGAAAUCCUACCUUUAGUAGGAACCCAUCUAUUCUUUUGUUCCAAGCCCUGGGUGCUUGUUUCAAUCCAUACAAGGCCUUGUGUAAUCUGUAGACUUUGUAUUCUUGAUCUGGAAUUACAAAUCCAGGAGGUUGUACCACAUAUACUUCCUUGUCUAUUGGACCAUUUAAGAAAGCAGAUUUCACAUCCAUUUAAUAAAUGUACCACCUUCUUGAGCUUGCUAUUGCUAUAACAAGUCUUAUGGUUUCUAGUCUGGCCACUGGUGCAAAGACUUCUUCGAAAUCCAAGCCUUGCUUCUGUAGGAACCCUUUUGCAACAAGUCUGGCCUUGUGCUUAGAAACUGAUCCAUCAGGUUUCAACUUCACCUUAUACACCCAUUUGACUAAGAUAGCUUUCUUGUUUCUUGGCAAAUCUGUUAGUUCCCAUGUAGCAUUCUUUUCUAUGGAGUUAAUUUCUUCCUUCAUUACUUCUAUCCAGCACUGCUCUUUCAUUGUUUGAUCAAAGGACAUAGGCUCCAUUUCAGCUAGUAGAGCCAUAUGCACAAAAUCUCCUUCUUGAGUGAUUGCUGAGUCAUCAAGAAGUUCAUAAUCUUUGAGUCUUGAUGGCAAUUGUCUUGCUCUCCGUGGUCUUUCAUUCAAGACAGCUUGAUCCUCAUUACUUAUCUGAGUUUCUUCUUCUGUUUGUGUGUUGUCCAACAUCAUUCUUCCUGAGUUGUUGGGUGUCUCAUUUGAUUCAUUCCAAUCCCAAGCUUCUCCUUCAAUGAAUUUUAAGUCUAUGCUGUAUGAGGUUGUAUUUGUUGUAGGAUUGUAUACUUUGUAGGCCCCUGUAGAAUGGUAGCCUACAAAAAUCAGCCUUUCUCCUCUGUUAUCUAGCUCCCUCUUUUGCUUUCUGGUAUGUGUUUGAAGCAUAUGGAUCCAAACACCUUGAGAUGUUUUACAUUCGGUUUGUGUCCUGUCCAUGCUUCUUCAGGAGUCUUGUUCACCAACCUCUUUGUAGGACAUCUGUUCAGAAGAUAAGUUGUUGUUGAUAUUGCUUCUGCCCAAAACUUCUUUGGAAGUGCCUUGGUUCUUAGCNNNNNNNNNNNNNNNNNNNNNNNNNNNNNNNNNNNNNNNNNNNNNNNNNNNNNNNNNNNNNNNNNNNNNNNNNNNNNNNNNNNNNNNNNNNNNNNNNNNNUCAAUUGGUGUUUCUCCACACCCCUUCAUUUGAUUUAUCAGGCUCCUUAAUCUGUUGAGGUACUCAACUAUGGAUUCUUGCUCAUCCAUUUGCAUCAACUCAUAUUGUCUUUUGAGUGUCAGCAAUCUCACCUUCUUGAUCUUCUUUCCACCAGAAUAGUUCUUCUCCAAUAUCUCCCAAGCUUCCUUUGAACUAGAUGCUCCAGAGAUCUUUUCAAAGUUGGCUUUAUCCACACAUUGGUGGAUCAAGAAGAUUGCCUUGCAAUCUCUCUUGUUUGCUUCCCUAUACUCCAUUGAAUUUUCAUCUACAGUUGGCAUUCCACCUUUCACUACAUCAAGACAUUCUUGAAAUCCAAAGAUUGCCUUCAUUUGAAUGCUCCAAUGUUCAUAAUUCUUCCUAUCUAGGAUUGGAAGAUUCAUUGCAAAGCCAUUCGAAUUUGCCAUUCUUCUACACCUCUAAUUUCCCUUCUGUUUUGCAGCCUUGAUUCUCAAUCCGUGAGCUUCACUUCUUGAAGCCUCUUGCACCCAAUCUUGGCACUACCACAGAUCCCGAUCCUAAAGCUCUUGAUACCACUGUUGGAAUUUAGAAACCAAGUGCCUUUGGUUUCUCUUUACUACAUUACUUGCAGAACACGAAAGAGAAGAAGAAAAGAGAGUGAGUGAAGAAAUCUUGAGAAAAUUAGAGAGGAGAGAAAUUGAGAGAAGAAAAGGAAGAAGGGGAAAGUAAUUCACUGAUUUUUCAAUGUAUUCAAAAUGCACACAUAUAUCAAGCUUGAUCAAUUCUAUUUAAAGAAACUCAUAACUAAUUUAGUUGUUAUGAUUUCUAUUUAUAGUAAUGUGCUAAACUAACUCAAUCAUCCUAUACAAUAAGCUAUGAAUUACAAAAACAAUUACUACAAAAUCAACAAUAGCGAUUGGUUUUACAAAUAAUUAAAUGGAUUUACAUAAAAUAAUGAAAUUAGUAUAUAUACACUAACAGAUAAAUGUUAUGCUGACAUUGUGAAAAAAUUUCACUGAGUGCAUAGAUAUUAAAUUUUAAAAUAAUAUAAAAGAUGAAGAUAAGAUAUUACAAUAUAUCUUGAAUAAAUAUGAUUUUAAUGUGCUUUGCUAAGGGUUUAAUAAACCUUUCUCUCUCUGCAAUUGUGUCGUACUGUUUUAAGGUAAGAGAGUACUGAGACUUCCAUUUUGAACUACUAUUAUGAUAGGAGCUCAGUUGUACGUCUAGUACGAGUGCACCCCAUUAUAUUUCUUUUUACGUAGAAUUGUACAAGUCACUCAUUUUUUGUUUACUUUUUUUUUUUUUUUUUUUUUUUGAAUAAAAUGAUAGGUGAAUUGGGUUAUUACUAGUGUCCACGAUAUUGUAGGUUAUAGGCUAAUUUCUUAGUGGAGUCUGUGUGGGUCCUAAUAUUUUGUGGAUAUGUGAGAGAAAAAAUUAGGUCCUAAUUUAUCAAGCUUCAGUGUUAAUUGUUGAAUAAAAUUGAGGAUUUAAAAUAAAUUGCGGUGAUAAAAUAAAAAUAAGUAUUUAUUGUAUAUUAAAUAGUUUAAUUAUUUAAUAUUUUUAAAAUAAAUUUUGAAUAAAAGAUAUUUUAUACAAUUAGUAAAAACAUAAUAUGUACUUUCUUUUCGGAUUCGAUUAUUGUUGUUUAUUAAAGACUUGAGUCUAAUAUAUUUCUAUGGUGUCAUAUUUUUAAUAAACGUUAAAUGAUAAAAUACUUUUACUUUUUCUCACUUCAACUCACAUACUUAGUUUAAUUACAAUAUAAAAUAAUAAUCAUUAUAACGAACAAAAUAUUGAACGAAUUUAUAUGCGGGGUAAUAAUUAACAAUACAAAAAAAUUUAAAAAAACAUAAAUAGGGGUAAUAAUUGUCAAAUUCAGAUAAAUUGUAUAAGUAAGAAAAAUAUUAUGGACACAUUAAAUAUGAGCAUUGUGUUAUACACUUCACGUGCCAACCUCGAUUGAGGGGUAUAAAUUGUAUUUUAUAACAAUAAUUACAACCAUAAUUAGGGGUGUAAGCCGUUCCAAUUUAAACCGUGAAACCGAUGGAACCGAACCGAACUAAAUCGUAAAAUGUGGUUCAGUUCGGUUUUGCAGUGUGGUUUGGUUAUUUUUUUAAGGAAUCGUUUAUGUUUGGUUCGGUUUAUGGUUUUAGAAAUUUAGGAACUGUUGGAACCGAACCGCAUAUUAAAGAAAUGUAUACAAGGGAAUAAUGUGUUAUAAUUGUUUAAAUUCUUCAAUCAAUUUUCUAGCUUAAGUUAUCAAAUUUUAUGGGAAUUGUAGUGUUAUAUAUGUUACUAAAUUAUUAUUAAGUUUGUAUUAUAUAUGUUAUUAGUUACUAAAUUGUUUCCUAGUGUAUUAUGAUUUGGAACAUAUUUACAAUUUUUGUAAUAUUGAGUUUGAAACUAACAUAUAUCAUAUAUUGUUAUACGUUACAUGUGCUACUAAUUAUGAAAUGUAAGGUUAUAAAUGUAACUAUUAUAUAUUUUACUAAUUCAUAUAUAUGUACAUAAUCAUGAACUUUAUUGUUAUAUAUGAUUCAUAAUUUUUUAUAAUAGUAGUAUUAAUAUUUAUCAUUUUAUGGAUAAACAAUAUCUCUUGUAAUAAAUUUUGAAUUUUCAAUUCAUGGAAGAUUUUUUAUAAAAUAGUAAAUGGAAAAAUCGUGGAAUCGAACCGAACCAUUCAAGAGCGGCUCGGUUCAUUUCGGUUAUAAUAGUUAAAUUUGCGGUUAAUUGAACGGAACCGAACUAUAUGUUUUUGAUCAGUUCGGUCACUAAAAUACACCAAAAACCGAACCAAACUGAAUUUUUACACCCCAAACCAUAAUAUUCCUAUUUUGGUACCAAUAACAUUAAGACCACAUCUUCGUGCAAUAUUUUGCAGUUACCGUGAGUACUACCGCAAUUUAAAACUGUGUACUAAACCAACCUUCUUUUGCUACACCUAAUUUUUGUUAAAAAUAUAGUAGUAGUAGUACUACUCCAUCGUGCUAUAAUACACCAUAUAUCUUGUACUACUUACUUCAGCUUUAAGGAAGUUUUAUUUUCACGGAAGGGGACAUACAUUGCUGAAUGACGAAGCUCACUUAAGGUUGUUGCAUGAAUCCAAUAUUCUAUACGCAAUGGGCUCAUUUUUUACUAGGCUUAUGUUAUAAAUUGCAUUUCAUAAUAUUACAGUUUUGGAAUUCUCCAUAACCAGAUUGUAAUUGUGACCACAUCUUAUAAUAAUUUCCAAAUUGCGGUAAACAUAAAGUAAUUAUAAUAUCGACUACCACCACAAAUUAAAAUAUUAUAUUAGAUCAGCUUUGUUUGGUAUACCCAAUAUAUAUUAAAAAGAUAGUAGUAGUAGUAGUACUCUAUCGUGCUAUUGUACUGCAUACUUCAGCUAUAAGGAAGCAUCAUUUUCAUUAGAGGGGACAGACAUUAAUUGGUGAAUGACAAAGCUCACUUCUCGUUGUUGCAUGCAAAAUAAUUUUCUUCCAACCCAAGAAGUCUUUUAAUAAUUUACAUUAGGAUAACAAAAAAUACUUUUUCAGCUCACCAAAUUACUACAUUUUGGUUAAGAAUACGGAAAAUGUUUUAAUACUCGUGUAGGGCAUUCUCUCCUAUAUGAGUGUAAGUGUGUAACUAAAUAUUGUGAUAUAUUAAUUAUAUUUAAAAAGCUAAUGAUAUUUAAAACCGUAGUAACUAUAACUAUAUAUCAUGGAUGUACAUGUCAAGUAAGUGUUGUAUUCUAAGUGUUCAAACCAUGGAACUCUAAAAUGUAGUCUUACUAUAUCUUUCUAUGUUACACUACCAUCUUGUACUAAAUAAUAGAUAUAGUUCUGCUUUUACGGAAUCAAUAUCAAUUAUAUUCCACUAAGAGAAGACAGCCUUUUGAUGAGUGACGAAUGACGCAUCACACACUUUUGCAUGCACAAAUAUUUCUUUGACCCGUCUUUUAAUUUUCUGAACGAGAUUUAUUUAUUUAACUUUCCACUCUGAUAGAUAUUGAUGAGAAUUUGAGAUAUUAAUGUUACGUGUGGGAGUUAUAAGGAAAAGAGAAGAAGAAGAAUCAAAAGUAAGGAAGGGAGAGAAAUGGGAGUUAAAAAGAAGGUAAUUAUUUUUCUUGUUUUGGAAUAUAAAAUUUAGAUAGUGUUAAUUAAUAAUGAUGUUAGAAUAUUUUUUAUUUUUCUUUUAAAAAUAUAAUUAACCAAUGAAAAAUGAAAAAUAAUAUAUAAUUCUAUAAUUUUAUUAAAAAUAUUUAGGCAUUAUUAUAUUUUGUCUCCAAAAACCUCAAAUUGAGGGAGCUAUAAAAUAGAUAUAUGGAUGAUUUUAGAGGGUUUCUAAAACCAUCUUUUCCAUUCCCUUUUCCUCCAAAAUCAUACUCCCAAAUAAACCCUAAGGGACUAAGAAGGGGAUGGCAGAAGAAAGAAAAGGAAGGCAAAUAAAUUAAGUUAAACAUUUUUUUUGUUCGGGAAUAUAAAAUUUAGAUAUCAGAAAAGUAAACUAAUUAAUAAUAGUGUGGGAACAUUUUUUAUUUGUGAUUUAGUUAUGUUUGAGAGUUUGGUUUUGAAGAGAAAUGAAUGACUUUGGAAAGUAUUUUCAUUGUUUGAGAGUUGGAUGAAGGAAAGAUAAAUAUUUUGAAAGUUUUCUUAAACCCCCUAAAAUUUGUUCACGUGCUUAUUCUCACUGUUCCUUCAAUCUGGGGGUUUUGUGACAAAAUGUUAAAAUACUUAAAUGAUUUUAGUAAAAUUAUUAAUUACAUUAUUGCAUAUUCUGAUUGUUAAUUAUAUUUUUAAAUGAAAAAUAAAAAAUAUUAUUCCAUAAUCAUUAUUUUUAUCAUCUUCCACAUACUCCUAAACAAAGGAGAAGUUUAACAUGAUUUGCAUUUCUUUUUCAUUCCCUUCUUUCCUCUUCCUAGCUUUUGGAUCCCUCUCAUUCAUAACUCUCAAACAUAGCCUUAAAAGUUUAAUUAACAAUGGGAAAUAAACAUAAUGUAAUUAUAUAAUUUUACUAAAAAUAUUUAAGUAUUUUGAUAAUUUGUUUCCAUAAAAUCUCAAAUUUAGGGAACCAUGAAAAUAUGUAUGUGGAGGGUUUUAGAGGACUCGAGAAAUCCUUCAAAAUAUUUUCUUUUUUUUAUCUAACUUUUAAACAAGAGAGAGGUUUUUCAAAGUCAUAUAUUUUCUUCCCUUCCAAAACCAGGCUCCCAAUAUAAGAGACUUUAUAAAAAAAGGAUGUGAGUGGAGAAGGGAGCUCAAUCUAUCAAAUCAAAUAUGUUUUAGUUUUAAAAGUGAAAAGUAAAAAAAAUCAAAAUUUAAAAUUUAAAAAUAUAGAUAAAGUGAUCACCUAUUUUAAAGUUAUGUUAAGAUUUCAAUUGUGUCAUAUAAAAUCACUCUAAGUUGAUUAAUGAUAGAAUGGCAUAAUUUCCAAUAUAUUCCCUUUAUUCCUUACCUUUUGUUGCUUAAAGCUUUUUCUUCAAAACUUUUGUUUUUUUACAAGUUCUAGGAUUAGUCAAACAAAUUCCUUCAAUUCUAUUUUCAUUAUAUAAUUAUACUUAUCACUAACUAAUUAUAUUUUUUAUCCAAAUAAAUAUAAUUGUUAUACUAUUUAACAUUUCUUAUUUUUUGUGCAUUAACUUUAAAUAACAAAAUAUAUAUAUUGGAUGGAGUAAUAAAUAAAAUUUAAAAUAAAAAGGAGAAAAAAUUUUAGUUGCCAUCCCCUCUGGAGCCCUCUUGGGUAGCUUCAUUGUAAAUAAGGAGAUUAGUUCAUAUUGUUAGUUUCAUUAAUGUGUUAAGAAUUAGAUAUAUUUUGACAAAAUUAUCCUUCAUUAUUAUGACCCACUCAUUUUCUCUUUUCACUCCAUGUUAAUUUAUAAGGAUGUUUUGGUAAGAAAGUUAACUAAUACACUUCAAAUUUUUGAACGAGUCUUAUAAAAAAAUCAAAAUCAAAAUCAAACUUUGAAAGAGUUUUUUUGUACUACCAAAAGUAUCCCCUCACCUUUUUAGGUAAGGAGUUAAUUCCUUUCGAGGUUCAUGACUGUCUCUCCCAACAAAUGUCGAUGUUAGGAAUCAAACCCUCAACUUUGGGAUCUAGUAAGCCUUACACCACUAGACCAACACAUUAUUGAUAUCUUUAAAACAGUUUCAUAAAAACUAGUGGAUAUUGCAUUUUAUUAAAAAUUAGCAAAAAUAACAUUAAAAACCUUGUAUAUCAAUUAGCGAUCUCAAUCACCGAAGUUGCUUAAGGAUUAAAAUUAGGGCAUGUAACCGUAUGAUGAAUAAGAUAAGAGAAAAGGAUUAUGAUAGUUUAUCCUAUUACAAUGGAGAGUUUGGUAUAUUAGUAGAAUAGAAUUAUCUUUUGACAUAUUUUAUCAUAUUCACAUGGUGUAUUUUCUAUUCUAUGGGUAGGAGUUGAGUUGGAUAUAAGAAGUGUAGGAUAGUGCAUUUUUUCUCUCAUAACCUCACAUCAUUGUUGAGUUAGAACGUCCAAUAUUAAAAUAUAAGGUAAUUGGGGAAAUAUUAUUUUUAAUAUUAUUUUUAUUUUUACAAAUAAUUUAAAAUCUUAACCUUUGAAAUUUUAUGAUUUUUAUCUAUAACAUGUAUCUUCAUUUGUAUCUCAUCAUUAUAACUACUAUUAGCACUGCCAAUAUUUUUCACCGCCACACUUUUUAUUAACAAUGAAAACUUUAUUAAUCAAGAGAUAAAAAUAUUAGGAGAACAAGAGGUACACUUAUCUAUUGAAUCGAUGUAAUUAACAAAGAGAAAGACAAAUUGAUGAAUGUAUCAUCCAAUCAACAUAAGAGUAAGAAAACAAAGGAAAACAAACAAUAAUAAGGUUACAUGAAUACAGAAAAAUAAGCUUUAUCAUCUCCUCUAUUUGGAACCUCAAAUUCUCAAUGAUAACUUUGUUUCUAAUAAGUCAAAUAGUCCAAAUUGUGAAAAACAAAAGACGCAUCCACAACUAUUUUUUCUUAUUUCUCCAAUUAUAUCAUGUUUUCAUGAAAUGCAAAAAGAGUCAUUACAUCAUUAUGAUAGAUGUAAGAUCAAAACAAGAAUAAAGCUUUUGUCAAACAAAAUAUGAUAUUGAUCAAGAAAAAACAAGUGACUAAUAGUUUCCUCCAACUCACCACAAAUUCACCACCACGUGCCCCACAGUUUGAAUUUAUUAUAUAUUUAUAAGAAUUGUUGAUUUAUAGGAUAGAAAUUUAAUAAAGUUUUAUAUUGAUGGUAGACUAACAUAAGUUUUAUAUUUUAUCUAGAUUUAGGACAAGUUAUAUAUAAUAUCAAGUACAUCUAACCAAAUUUAAAUUAUAAGUUGAAAUGAUUAAGAAAGACUUAUAGACAAUCCUUUAUUUAUCUAGUAAGUUAUAGGUUUGAUUGUUGUCGUUAACAUGUUGAGUGGCACUCUCGUGCAUAUCAACCUGUAUUCUUAUGGUUUAAUAUUGCUUACAAUCGUUAUCAUUCCAAAAAGAAUAAGUCAAUAAUUUUUUAUUUGAUUAUAUUUUAACACUUCUUCAAAAAAGUGUCAACUUUCUUAAAAGGGGGCAAAAACAAUGUUGGUUCAAAUGAAAUGGAGAAAUAUUUAUUCAACUGCAUAAAAAAUGUUUCAAGCAUUAAUUCAUUUUUGUUGGUAGCCGCAUGUAUAUAACAUGACAUGAUUGUCUUUUUAUUAGCAAGAGAAUAAAGAUGAAAGAAUUGUCAAUUAUAUAUAUAUAUAAAUAAACUAUACUUUAUAUUUAAAAGUUAAAGUUAAUCAACAUUUUAUUUAUGUAUCUAAUCUACAAAACCCAAAGUGUGAAAAGAAAUAGUAGUUGUUUUGGAGAAGUGAAAAUAAAAUUACUUUAUAUUCAAGUUUUAUAUAUUUUAUUUUAGAGAAUUAUAAUAUUUUGAGUAUAUUUUAUACUGUAUUUUUAUUGAGAUACUUUAUAUUAUAAUUUUUUUGUUUUAUUAUAAUAUUUAACUUAAAGUGAGAUAAGUGGUUAAUAGGUUAGUGGUGGUUACAUAUGAUUAUAUAAUUUUUUUAUAGAAAUUAAAAAGUUUAAGAGCAAAAUAGGAAAAGUAAAUUAUAUCACCAUGAUAGUUAUACCAUAUUUUGCCUUUAUAUAUAGUAUAAAAGUAUAAAUAACAUUUAUUUUUACUUAUUUUUCUUAGUUUAUAUCGGGGAAACUUGUUAUUCAUGUUAGAUAUUUUAUUAUAUUCAGUUUAUGUGUUGUGUUAGUAGUUUAUGAGUAGUUUAGCAAGUUACCUCCACUUUAGAGGAAGUUAUGUAUGUAGUUUGUGAAACUGAUUGUAACCUCUUUACUUUGCCUAUUUUAAGGCUGCCAUCUAAUGCAUAAUAUACAUCAGUUUACAAUUUACUCUUCCUAACAUUGGUAUCAAGAGCCAGAAAAGAAAAAAAACAUAUAAACAGUGAGUGCAGCCACAGUAGCCCAUGACAGAGAAGAAAAUUUUUCCACCAUAGUGUUAUAUUGCCUCCAAACCACUGCAGAAACAGAACUGCAAAAUUUUUAAAGGCAUAUUUUAUUUCCAGUGCAGAAAUAGAAUUGCAAAUUUUUUUUCUGCAACAAUUUUUUUUUCCAGUACCACAAACAAAAUUAUAGUAAGUUAAGACAAUGGCUACUGAUAAUUUUGUGCAACCAGCUAUUCCACGUUUUGAUGGUCACUAUGAGCACUGGAGCAUGUUGAUGGAAAAUCUCUUAAGGUCCAAGGAGUAUUGGCAAGUGGUUGAAGAUGGUGUUGCAACACCAGAAGAAGGCAAGGAACUUACUCUUGCACAAAACAGAGAGCAUGAUGCAAUGAAGUUGAAAGACUUGAGAGCCAAAAAUUUCUUAUUUCAAGCAAUUGAUCGCUCUAUCCUGGAAACCAUUCUUUGCAAAGAUACUUCCAAGGAUAUUUGGGAUUCAAUGAAGAUGAAAUAUCAAGGUUCCUCUAGAGUCAAAUGUGCUCAACUUCAAGCCUUGAGAAGGGACUUUGAAACUUUGCAAAUGAAGGAAAGUGAGUCAGUUACUAAUUAUUGUUCAAGGGUCAUGGGAAUUGCAAACAGCAUGCGAAUUCAUGGAGAAAAUAUGGGAGACACCCUCAUUGUUGAAAAAAUUCUACGGUCACUCACACCAAAAUUUGACUAUGUGGUGUGUUCAAUUGAAGAGUCCAAUGACACUGAUGAACUCUCCCUUGAUGAACUUCAAAGUUCAUUAUUGGUUCAUGAACAAAAGAUGUACAGAAGUUCAACAACGGAUGAACAAGCAUUGAAGGCUUCUACCAAUACCCAUUUCAAUAACUUCAGAGGAAGGGGUAGGGGUAGAGGUAGAGGACACGGAGGUCGAGGAAAUAGAGAUUCCAGCAGGUACUUUAAAGGCAAUCCUCACCAACAACAAGAAAGAGGUAGAAUUUAUGAAAAGUCCAAGCUAGAGUGCUACAAAUGUCAUAAGUUUGGUCAUUAUGCCUCUGAGUGCUACACAAAAUUGCCUAAAUACAAAGAAAAAGGAGAAAUGUCUAACUUUUUAGAGGAGAAGGAAGAAGAAACAUUGCUGAUGAAAUCUCAUGAGAAAUUCCAAUCUGAUGUAUGGUAUGUUGAUUCUGGUUGUAGCAACCACAUGUGUGGAAGUAAGUCAUCUUUCUCCUAUUUAGAUGAAAACUUUCGAUCUAAAGUGAGUUUUGGUGAUUGUUCUACUGUAAAUGUGAUGGGAAAAGGAGAUAUUAAAAUUCAAACCAAGAAUGGUUUGGUGGAAACCAUCUCUAAUGUAUUUUAUGUUCCUGACUUGAAAAGCAAUUUGUUGAGUGCUGGCCAAUUGCAGGAAAAAGGUUAUAUAAUAACCAUACAAAAAGAUGCUUGUGAAAUAUAUGAUCCUAUCAGAGGAGCCAUUGCAGUUGUUGAAAUGAGUUCUAACAGGUUGUUUCCAUUGAAGAUUCAAAGUGCACAAACAUGCUUGAUGAGUGAAGUGAAGGAUCCCUCAUGGCUUUGGCAUUUUCGCUAUGGCCACUUAAAUUUCAAUGGAUUGAAGACUCUUCAGCAGAAAAACAUGGUGGUAGGUCUUCCACAAAUAGUCAAUCCAUCUCAAAUUUGUGAAGAAUGUGUUGUUGGCAAACAACAUCGUUCNNNNNNNNNNNNNNNNNNNNNNNNNNNNNNNNNNNNNNNNNNNNNNNNNNNNNNNNNNNNNNNNNNNNNNNNNNNNNNNNNNNNNNNNNNNNNNNNNNNNGUGGUGGUGAAUACAACUCACAAGAAUUUGCAUAUUUUUGUGACGCACAUGGAAUCAAGAGGCAACUUACAGCAGCUUACACACCACAACAAAAUGGCAUUGCAGAAAGGAAGAAUCGAACAAUCUUAAAUAUGGUUCGAACCAUUUUGAAGAUGAGUGGAGUGCCAAGAAACUUUUGGCCAGAAGUUGUAAAUUGGAGUAUUCAUUUGUUGGACAGAAGCCCCACCUUUGCUGUAAAGAACAUGACACCAGAAGAAGCAUGGAAUGGACACAAGCCAAGUGUUGAGCAUUUCAGAAUUUUUGGUUGCAUAGCUUAUGCCCAUGUUCCAUAUCAGAAAAGGAAGAAGCUUGAUGAUAAGGGUGAAAAGUGUGUUUUCCUUGGUGUUAGUGAAGUCUCCAAAGCAUAUAAGUUAUACAAUCCUCUCACUAAAAAGAUUGUAACAAGUAGAGAUGUCAUCUUUGAUGAAGAAAGAUCUUGGGAGUGGAAUGGACAACAAACUACUCCAAAUACUUCAGAAUUUGGACUUGAAGAAGAAGAACAAGAAAAUGUGCAGCAGCCUUGUACAAAUAAUUCACAAGUUGAACAUGAAGGAGAAGAAAAAAUUGCAACACCAACAAGAGCAGAAACUUCAACAGAUGCAUAUGUUGAACCUCCUAGAAGUCGCAUUCGAAAGAGGCCAUCUUGGAUGGAAGAUUUUGAGGUAACUGGAAUUAAUCAAAUUGAUGAUCCUGUUACUCAUUUUGCAUUAUUUUCAGAUUGUGAUCCUACAACAUUUGAGAAUGCCGCCAAGGAAGCAAAAUGGCAAAAGGCAAUGGAUGAAGAAAUUGAAGCCAUAGAAAGAAAUCAUACAUGGGAGCUUGUUGAUCUUCCAGUUGGGCAGAAAACUGUUGGUGUAAAAUGGCUUUUCAAAACUAAAAGAAAAGAAGAUGGUGAAGUUGACAAGUAUAAGACAAGAUUGGUGGCAAAAGGAUAUAAGCAAGAAUAUGAUGUGCACUAUAAAGAGGUGUACGCUCCAGUUAUAAGACAGUAUACCAUCAGAUUGGUGAUUGCCAUGGGAGCUCAAAACUCAUGGCCUACAUAUCAAAUGGAUGUUAAACAUCAUUCCUUUAUGGAACCUUGGAUGUGUAGGUAUUUGUUGAUCAACCCAUUGGCUAUAUUAAAGUUGGAAAUGAACAUAAAGUGUAUAGAUUGAAGAAAGCACUUUAUGGACUAAAACAAGCUCCAAGAGCUUGGUAUAGUCGAAUAGAGGCAUAUUUUUUGAAAGAAGGAUUUAAUAAAUGCCCAUAUGAGCACACACUCUUUGUUAAAGUUGGAUCUGAAGGAAAAAUACAUAUUGUUUGCUUAUAUGUUGAUGGCCUUAUAUUUACUGGAAAUGAUUUGGGAAUGUUUGAAAAGUUCAAAAAGUCUAUGAUGAUUGAGUUUGAAAUGACUGAUCUUGGNNNNNNNNNNNNNNNNNNNNNNNNNNNNNNNNNNNNNNNNNNNNNNNNNNNNNNNNNNNNNNNNNNNNNNNNNNNNNNNNNNNNNNNNNNNNNNNNNNNNAGUUUAUGUGUUGUGUUAGUAGUUUAUGAGUAGUUUAGCAAGUUACCUCCACUUUAGAGGAAGUUGUGUAUGUAGUUGGUAAAACUGAUUGUAACCUCUUUACUUUGCCUAUUUUAAGGCUGCCAUCUAAUGCAUAAUAUACAUCAGUUUACAAUUUACUCUUCCUAACAAUUCAACCCAUCUUAGUCAUAAACCAUAAAUAAGCAAAAAUAAUUCUAACCAAACAUCACUAACAAUGAAAAUCUAAUAUGUUUGGUUCAAUUUUAUCCUUUGGAUUUUUCUCAUGUGGAACUUUUGACACUAGAUAGCCAACUUCAUAAUUGUUUUGGUAAUGUAAGAUUUGAUAGUAUUUUAUAAUUGGGAGUAAUUACUACUUUUUAAUAAAACUCGUGAAAUUGAGAGAUAUAUGAUUGAAUGAUUAUCUAUUACUCUAUUGUAAAAUAUUCUUUUGAUUGUAUUGAAAUGAAAAUAACACUCAAUAUUUCUAAAAUAUGAGUUAAUUAUAAAAUUUUGAUGGUUUUUCCUCUUUUAUAUCUCAUUCAUGUGAUGCUAGCUAGUUAUUAUUGUGUUUUAUACAGCCCGUGACUAAUGUAUUAUAAAAAACUAUAAUAUAUUUUAAUGGUAUAAAUUUAAGUAUUUGUCAUUUCACUACUUAAAGUUUAGUAUAAUAUUUAUACAUUAUUACUAAAAAGAUUUAUACAUAAUUAACAUAUAAUUUACCAUUCAAUUGUAUAUAUUAUUUAUUUAUAUAAGUUAAUGAAUAUAAAUAUAAAUAAUACAUGAUUGAUAUGUAAAAAACUCUUCAACCCUACCUACAUAAAUAUUUUUCUCUAAAAUUUAUGGGUUUGUCAUAGAGAUUGAUCUUACAUCCGUGAUACGUGGAUAGGAUUAUUAUUUUUGUUAACUAAUUAAGAAUUAUGGAGAAGGACCCACUUUCUUAACAAAAUUCUGUUAAAAUAUAUGUAAUAAAUAAUAAAUCAAACUUCAUAAAAUAAUAUUACAAUAUUAAUUUUUAUUUUUAUAAUUUUUGUUUUAAUUAAAUAAAAUUUUCUAAUGAGAAAUUAAGAUAUAGAAAUGUGAUCACAUCCAAGAAUACUUGACAUCCUUGUUGGUUGGCCUACCACACCAAAACAUUUACCAAACGGAACCACUAAUUAGUGAUUUCUUUUUGUUAGAGUAUCCUAUUCCUUCUCUAGUGCUCUUCUCUCUUCUCUUCCACCACACCCAUUUCUCAUAGUGGGUUUUGGCUAUAAAGGUACCACCCCAAUAACCAUAACUCUUCAUUCCAACACAACCCAAAAAUUCUCAUCACUUUCUUGCACUACUCAUAGCAAUGACUUCUCAGGUGCUGAACCCUUUCGCUCCUUUCUAUUUAGUUUUUUAUGUUUCAUCAUUUUUAGUUCUAUUUUCUUUGUCCUAGAUGGUUAUACUAAACUUAUGACUUUAUGAGUUGAGAAAGAAGUAUAUUAGUAGUUAUCGAGUUUGAAUUAGCUUUAGAAUUAGAAGGUUCAACUUUUUUGCCUAUGAAGGUUUUAAAUUGUGAUCAUAGUUGCGAUUACAUUGAGGUUAAUGAAAUUGCGGAUUAUUGCGGGAAAAUAUGGUAGCAAUUGUAGAGACUACCAAAACCAUAAUGUUGCAACUUAAUUUAUUGUCGAGGAUUGGGAUUUAAAACCUCGUGCCUAUGAUAUAUCUUAAAUCCAAGUAUACAAGCUUUGUUUUAGAUGUGGUUUUUGGAUAUUGGAUUAAUCUGAGAACAUUCGCUUUUCUCUGCUCUUUUAAUCUGAAAACAUUCUCACUAUGAUUGCAGACUGUUGUCCUCAAAGUUGGUAUGUCAUGUCAAGGAUGUUCUGGAGCAGUCAAUAGGGUAUUGGGAAAAUUGGAAGGUAUAUUUUAUAACUAGAUCAAAAUGUCUGUGACUCUUUGCUAUAAGAUUCAAUAUGACAUUGCUUUAGCAAUUGUGACAAUAUAUUAUCUUACAAGUUGAUCUUAUAUGCUUCAUUUGCUUUCUUUUUUAUUUUUAUCAAUCAAGAUAUUCUGUGCUCCUCAAAUCAUUAGAUAUAUGCUCUCACAUGAGUUAAGUGAGAAGAACAUGUUAAGGUUAUCUGUAUUGUUUAAUAGCUAAAAGAUCUUGUUAAUGUUCCUUAUUGUCUCUAUUGGGUUGUGAUUGUAUAAUUUUGUGUUUUCUGUCUAUAAUGAACUCUUUGACAUCAAUAUUAUCCGGCACAUGUUCAUCAUUUUGAAGACUAUUUGCUUACUUAUCUCCACAAUUGUGUGUAUAUCUUCAUACCGGAUGAAAAACUAGAUAUCAUGAAUUAAAAUUAUAUAAGGAAACAAUAUAAAUAUGAAGUUAAUUUGCUUCUAUGGUUUUCCUUCCCUCGGUAAAAGAAUAUGACUAAAGCAAAUGUGCCAAAUCAAAAUCUUAUUGCAGUUCCUGCAAGAUAAUACAAAGCAAAGUUCCUCUUGCAAUGUUGUAUCUUAAUAACAUGUCGGCAUUUGCAGGUGUAGAAUCAUAUGACAUUGAUUUGAAGGAACAGAAAGUGACAGUGAAAGGAAAUGUAGAGCCAGAGACGGUUCUGCAGGCUGUUGCCAAAACUGGGAAGAAGACUGCCUUCUGGGAGGAAGAAGCUCCAGUAGCUUCGGUCGAGUCUGAAAACAAGCCUGCAGAAACUGCGGCAGCUGCCUCAGCUGAGUCUGAAAACAAGUCUUCAGAAACUGCAACUGUUUCCUCAGCUGAACCUGAAAACAAGUCUUCAGAAACUGCAGCUAUUGCCUCAGCUGUGCCUGAAAACAAGCCUUCAGAAUCUGCACCUGUUGUGGCAUAAGAGACAUCUGUGGUUCUAUUCUAUUCCUAUGUGGAAGUAGGUCUUUGUAUCAAAUAGUAUUUGAUGGACUUGCAAUAGCUAAGCAUGUCUUCUGAUAUAUUUGGCGUGUUGUUACUUUUUAUACCUGUGUUUUAAAUUGUAGUGGUGGUUAUGUUGUGUUUACCACAAUUGCAGCCAGAAGUGUGGUUGCAGUGCUGUUCUGGAGACUCCGAGACAGCAAUAUUGCGGCCGCAAAUGCAGUUGCGGAGCACAAUUUAAAACACUGUAAACUACAAUAACUUGUGGCCUAGUUUUCUCAUGUGAUCAUUUUAGUGUGAUUAAAAUAAGAAUUUAACUUGUUUCUUACUACUGAUUUCAUUAUCAUCUCUCUUUUUACUUUGCUACCACUAUGCUAUGGUCCCGUUUGGAAGAGUGUAUUCAGUUU